rnacentral:lncRNA from 1 species
UUUCCAAUACUAAAUUAAUUAUUUAAUUUCAAGUUAUACACUAUUUCUAAUAUCCUUUUUUUUAAUUCAUUUAUCUCUCUUAUUAAUCAUAAGAUAAGGUCAUUUUAGUGUAAAAGCAUAAAUUUUUCAUAAAAUCAAGACACAUUUAAUGAUAGAAUCUAGAAAGAGCUCUUAGUAAAAACGCUCCCCAAAGUUAGGAAAAGAUUUUUCCGCCUCUCUCGCCUUCUCGGCCACAGAGGUGCUUUCGGCGAUCGCUCCUCCUCCUCCGGUGAACGGAUUUCUUUGGUGGCGACACCAUUGAACUCAUCUCAUCGGCGCGCUCAAUCUGAGUGUGACUUUGUGGGGUUCUGUCGUCGGUUACGGGAGUUUCGUUUUGUCAUCUUCUUCGCAGAUCUAAGGUUUUGAACGACGGUUUUUGGUGGUGUUUGUGUGUGAGAUUGAUUCGUUGCAUUGUGGGGUGGCCGGAUCUACGUUUUUCUUGGGUUUUGGCCACGUUUUGGUGGCUACGGUUUGGCUGUAGACAGUAUUUUCCGGCGGAGAUAGGGCGACGGUGAGUUGACGGCCAUUGUUGCAGACGUUGUGCUGACGGUCGCCGCUAGGGUUUCGGCUGGGCUUGGCAGCUAGGGUUUUUCAGAGCCUUUGGCGGCUAGGGUUUCGGUGGGCUUGGCGGCUAGGGUUUUUCGGUGGCUUUUGGCGGCUAGUGUUUCUUGGUGGGCUUUGGUGGCUAGGAUUUGGGUGGAUUAGGGUUAGGGAGUCACAAGCGGUUAGGGUUUGGAGGCGCCUCAAUGGUGAGAAAGAAGGCCGGCAGCGGGGGAGGAAAAUGAGCGGCUACGGCUCUCCCCAUUGCGACUAUUGCAGAAAUUCCCACGGAAGAGACGACGACUCCCAUUCCACAUGCCGAAUCAUCAAAGGCAGGUGAAAUCCGGGGUCCCACAACGGGCCAAUACUCCGGUGAUGGCGAACGAAUGAACUGGUCUCAAUUCUUCAAAGGCAAUCCGCCAACAUCGGAGGAAUUGGCGUUGGAAUCGGUGGAAGGUGAGGAUGACACAAACAUCCUCCGAUUUGAGGAAGAAGACGAGGUAGAUUGGGGUACGAAGGGUGUGUUCUUGGCCGUUGCUUACUUUUCGAGGAAAUUCCCCGGACUUGACGCCAUACACGCGAUAAAGACGCAAUGGGAGGUCCUGGUGAAAUUCCAAAUCCAUCCUACGGGGUGGACCGUGUUCAAAUUCACAACGGACCAUGAUCGGAUGAAGGUGGUGGAGACGGGGAAGUUUGAACAUGGAGUAGCGACGCUAUAUAUCCGUGCCAUGCCAGACUUCUUCAACUUCGACAUCAACGCUAUGAUGUUUGUACCGGUUUGGGUGAUCCUACGCAACAUCUCUGCGGAACUCUACAACAAAAAGGCGUUGAGUAAGAUCGCUCAAAAGAUUGGCAAACCAGUCCAAAUGGACAAAGUCACGAGUGAGAUGGGCAGGUUGGGGUUUGCACAACUUCAAGUUGAAGUGGACGCGUCCAAACCAUUACGACGGUCGCUUACAUUGAUCAGUGCGAAAGGUAAGAGCUAUGAGGUCCCGAUUGAAUAUAGCUACGAACCGGUAUUUUGUUCGAAAUGCCAAACCCUUACGCAUAAGACGGAUCAAUGUCGAGCGGAGGCGGUGCUUAAGCGAGGGAGGAGCUGGAAGCCCAAACCGGUGGUGAGUGUUGCACAAGAUCCACCAGUGACUACAGUUUGGGCAGGCAAACGAACGGUGAUUGCGGAUGAGACGGUGACGGAGACUGUGGCGGAGGCCGAAGAUGAAUCCGUGGUUGGAGAGGUAGGAGUAUCGGAUGAUGCCUCUACCGAUUGUUAUGAAGUGGACAACAACGACCGAGGUUCGUUGGUGGAGUUUAAUGCCCUUGACUCACCAAAAACCCCGGAACAGCCCCCAAGUCGAGGAUUACAACCAAGAAGAAGUUUAUUCCUCCAAAUGCUAUCCUUAUGCCCAAAGAGGGGGGAGCAAGCUCGGGACCGCCAACCGAGCCGGCGCUGGAGAGCGUGAGGUUAUUGAGCUGCGCGGGGGAGCCUCCAUCCCCCACGGUCGAAAUGAUUGUUGGAUGCUGGAAUGUGAGGGGGUUUUUUAACUCUCUCACGCAGAAAGAGGUCGUGGACCUCAUUGGAAAGCACAAGCUUUCGGUUUGUGGCUUACUGGAAAUGAAGAUCUGGGACCCGGGAACGCUGACCUCUAUCAUGGGCCGUCGUUUCCGCCACUGGGAGAACCUCAACAAUUUCCAUCUCCAUACGACAGGCCGGAUUCUAAUUCUGUGGAACCCGGAUGUGGCUCCGGUGGAAGUGGUUGACAUGACGACGCAUGUGAUCCAUUGCAAGGUAACAUGUAUGGUCACCAAUCGGCUAUGCUAUGUUAGCUUUGUGUAUGGACUUUUGCUGAAUGAUAUACAGGAUUGCUUUCGUCAAAGUGGAUUGGAAGAUUUACCUUCAACGGGUUUCCACUACACUUGGACGAACCAAACAGUGUGGAGCAAGCUUGAUUGUGAGUUUGUGAACCAAACUUGGAGGGAUGUAUUUGAGGGUAGUUCGGCAUAAUUCCUCCCUUUUGGGGCGGUGUCGGGCCACACUCCGAUAAUUGUGAAACUCAAAGGAACAGAGCCCCCGGCUUCUCGGCCCUUUCGGUUUUUCAAAAUAUGGACCCAACAUGGUGAUUUCCAACACGAAGUAAGGGAGGUGUGGUCAUCCAACCACCGGGGCAGCCGCCAAUGGGUUGUUUGCCAAAAUCUCAAGGCUCUUAAGCAUCCACUUAAGCGCCUACAUAGACGUGAAUUUGUGCAUAUCUCGGAACGGGUCAAACGGGCAAGUGGUGAGCUUGAGGACAGCAGCAAGCCUACCACAACGAUCCCCACAAUCCGCAGUUACGUGGGGAGAUGUUGUCCAAAGUGGAGAGAUUUCGUUUCUUGGCGAAAGCGGAGAAGAGAUUUUUCUACCAAAAGGCGAAACUUCAGUAUUUACGAGACACAGACCGGACGACAAAAUUUUUCCAUGGUAUUGCUAAACGUAAUGCCAAACGGAACAAUAUUGUAUCACUCCGCAAGGAGGAUGGCUCGGUUACUACCUCUCGGGAUGAGGUCCUUGCGGAAUUUGAAACAUUUUACAAGAAUUUCUUGGGUACUCGGGUCCCUUGCGAACCGGUCGAUCCUCAUAUCAUUGCCACCAGACCGGUUCUUUGGGAGGAAGAUCGGGCGAGUUUGAUUCAGCCAGUGACGGAUAUGGAGAUUCGAGAAGCCCUCUUCGAUAUUGCGGAUGAUAAGGCGCCAGGCCCGAAUGGAUAUACGGCUCUUUUCUUCAAAGUUGCAUGGUCGACCGUGGGCCCCCUCCUUACGGAAGCGGCUUUGGAGUUCUUUCGGAGCGGCGAGCUGCUCAAACAAUGGGAUAAUACGGUUUUGGUUUUUAUACCGAAAUCGGCCCAAGCUCAAACGGUGGCCGAUUUUCGCCCCAUAGCCUGCUGCAAUGUUAUUUACAAGUAGUAAUUGCAAAGGUUAUUACGAAACGCAUCAAGAAGGUUCUACCUUCAAUCAUAGAUAGAGCCCAAUCGGCUUUUGUGAGUGGCCGUUCUAUUACGGACAACAUUCAUAUGGUUGAACAACUUAUGAGGGGAUACGAACGCAAACGUAUAUCGCCUCGUUGCUUACUCAAUAUGGAUUUACGGAAGGCCUAUGACUCCGUAAAUUGGGAUUUCUUACGGUCUAUGUUGAUGGGACUUGGGUUCCUAGACAUGGUGAUUCGGUGGAUUAUGGAGUGUGUGACACCAGCCUCCUAUACGGUGUCGGUUAAUGGAGUGACGAGGGGUUACUUUCCGUGGAUGAGAGGACUGCGACAAGGGGACCCGUAAUCGCCUUAUCUCUUUGUUAUUUGCAUGGAGUAUCUUUCUCGACUGCUGCAUGUGAGAGCGACGAAGCAAGAGCUCAAUUUCCACCCGAUGUGCCACUUGCACAAAGUGACGCACCUCAUCUUUGCCGAUGAUUUGAUGCUUUUCUUGAGAGGUGAUGUUGCCUCUGUUCGUACGCUUGCCACAACAGUGCUUGAGUUUGGGCAAGCAUCGGGGCUUCAUGUGAAUAACUUGAAAUCCAAUUUAUUCAUCGCUCGAGUUCAUGUGGCUGACCGAACGACAAUUGAGGAGGAAUUCCGCUUUUCUACCGAAACCUUCCCCUUUCGCUAUUUGGGUAUUCCUCUUGCUGCGUCCAAACUCCAUGUGCUUAAUUACCAACCCCUCUUGGAUAAAAUUGAGCAUGCCAUAGGGGUGUGGACGGGUCAUACGCUAUCGUACGUCGGCCGUUUGGAGAUCUUGAAGGCAGUUGUUCAAGGUACGUGUUGCUAUUGGCUCUCGAUUUUUUCGAUCCCGAUUAUGGUCAUUGGUUAUAUUGAAGAUAUGUGUCGUGCUUUCUUAUGGGGUACUUGUGCGCCGAAAGUUGCUUGGGAAUCUUUGUGUAAGCCGAAGGCCAAUGGUGGGUUGGGCCUUUGCUGCUUGCGUACAUGGAACCAUAGUUUGCUUGUGAAGGACCUUUGGGACAUCCACUUGAAGAAGGACUCCCUAUGGAUUCAAUGGGUCAAUGAAUUCUACCUAAAGGGCACGACUAUCUGGGAAUGGCAACCGUCGGCGACUUCUUCCCCAUGUUUCAAAAAUCUUUGUGGGAUCCGGGAUGAAGUCGUGGGCAAGGCGGGCUCCAUUCCGUUGCUCCUAGCUCAAUUGAAGACGUGCUCGAGCUUGGGAAAACUUACGGUGGGACGGAUUUACGACUGAAUUAGGGCUCCAACCGGGGCUCAGCCAUGGGGUCGACAUCUUUGGGCCAACUCCAUGACACCAAAGCAUUCGUUUGUUCUUUGGAUGGCAGCCCUUGAUCGGUUGCAAACCAUGGAACAUUUAUCUUAUCGGGACAUCAAGAAGAAUUGUGUGUUGUGCGGCGCGGUGAAUGAGGACCGAGAACAUUUGUUUUUUAUGCGCCUGUCGCGCGAAGUAUGGGAUCGUAUUCGAGUUUGGCUGGGGAUUUCACUACUAUACGAGCUGCUCUUAAGUGGCUUACCAAGGAUGUUAAAGGUAAAUCGAACCGAAGCAAGACGAGUAGAUGUGUUUUGGCAAGCGUUGUUUACCAUAUAUGGGAGGCUCGGAACAAAUGGAGAUUCGACAAGAUAGAGACUACGACUACUGCCCUUGUUCGGAAGAUUCAGAUUCACGUUUAUUCAGCUAUGUUCAUACAGUACCCGGAACUGACUACCACCAGUGGGGGCCGCUUUAUCGUCGGCCAAGUUGACGCACACUAGGGAGGGGGCAUAGCCCCAAUUGGCGGCUAGGAUUUUCACAUUUUCUAUGUUAUUCGAUAGUUAGAUGCUUUCUAUUGUUUCCUCAAUUCCCUCGGGUAUGCCCGUUGUAAUUGUCUACGAUCUUUUUCUAAUUUAUAUUGUUUACAUCUUCGAUCAAAAAAAAAAAAAAACACAUUUAAUGAAAUCCUUAAUCCGUGUGCAAAGCGAAAAACGACUAUUAAAAGGGAACGAAUGGAGUGUAAUUUUCAAAUGGAAAUAAGGUAUCAUUUAUUAAGGAUAUGAAAUUGGUGUUGAACUGAAGUUCAAACUGCUAAUGAAAUUAAAUUAAAACACAACUUUUUAAAGUGAAUAAAAACUCAAAUAAAUUUGAGCAAUCAUACAUUUAAUUUAACUCAACCGUUUUACCACUAUCCGGUUAUAAGCUAAUAUAACCAAUCCAUGUACACAAUUAUAUUAUAGCAAUAACAUACUACAUAAUAUAUAUAUAGGUAGUUUUCGAUCUAAUAAGAAGCAUGAAUGAGAAUGCAUAGUAUUAAUAUUUGGAAAAAUGAAAGAAAAAAAGAGAGAGAUUAAAAUGCGUAUAGUAAUUAGGCAUAUUCUUCUUUGUUUACAAGAAAAAGUAUAGCAUAAAAAUAAAUAUAGUACAGGAGGAAUGAAUGAAUUAGGUAAAUAGAAAAAGAAUCAGCGAAUAGGAGCCUUAAUCCAGCCAUUAGCAAAAGCAAUGGCUAAAAUAAUAAAAGGAGUUGACAUACCAAAUAUGAUUAUGUAUGGAAGCGGUGUUGACAUUGGAUUUUCUCCUUCUCUUUCACCCGCUGUUUGCCAAUACCUACACACACGCACGCACCAUUUUUAUUUAUUAUUUCCUUCAAUUAAUUCCAAAACAAAAUUGUAUCCUGUAACACUUUAAACAACGUCCAAGCUGAAAAUAUUAUUAUUUAAAAAAAAAAAAAAAAAAAAAUUACUGUUCUGGUUCUUGUUCUUUGGUGAUAAACUUCUUCUUGUCUUCUUUCUUGAGCUCCCCUUCUCCUCCUCCUCCUCCUCCUGACAACCCACAAUUUUAAAUAAUUAAAUUAAAUUUAAAUAAACUAUAUAAAUAAUCAAGAAAAUGAAAAGGGUUAUAAAUAAACCUAAAUUGGCAGAGAUUGUGAAUUGCUGCUGUAGCCGCCUCCUUUUGUUUGUAUACUGAGCUGGUUGUAGAGGAGGCCGGGAAAAUAGCUUAUUAGUUGGCUUAUUAAAAGUUGGGAAAUUGAGGCCAGCAAAUGAGCCCAUUUCUGCUGCCAUUACACAAACUAUAAAGGAUUAUCAAAGAAACAAAGAUACAGAGAAAGAAUAUAUAGAGAGACACAACUCAGUCAGGGUUUUGGGUAUGUAUGGAUACAAAUAAUUUGAUUUUCAUAUAAUCUUAAGUGUGUGUGUGUGUGUGUGUGAUGUGAUCAUUCAUGAUUCUCUCUCUACUUUUACUACCUUAUCUAUAUGGAUAUAUAUGUUUUGCCUCAUUUGCAUCAACCCGUCCCUAAACUUUCGUCUUUUGACAAACACACCCCAAAUGUUUAACAUUUUCACAUCUAUACCCCUAAACUUUUUUUAUUUUUUUGGAUUAUACAGCCAUUUCAUCCAAUUUAACUUUUGGUUAAUGUCAAUUGUUUUUUUAGGUACGCAAUUCAAAUUUUAUAUUUCAAUUAAUCAGUAUUGUAUAUUUUUUUAACAGAUCAGUAUUACAUUUACAUAUAUGUCAUUUCGGUUUUUUGUGAAUGCAAUAACAAGAAAAACAAUUCUAGUACUAUUUACUAACAAGUGAAACUAUCACGAAAAAAAAAAAAAAACAUUAAUCAAAAGGUCUUUCAAUCCAUGUGUUCGGUUGUUGCCCUCUACUCCAAAUAUUGUUUUACUAUUCAUAAGUAUUGAAACAUGAUGUCCAUGAAGUUUUAAAACAUGUAAGAUUGAGAAAUUAAAUGUAAUAAUAAUAAUAAUAAUAAAUCUUUGUAGCUCCUAUGUUAAUUUUGUGAGUUAAUUUUAUUUAUUUGUAUGUAAUUUUUCUAUUAUACCCUUAAAACUAACGAACUACUAAUAGAAAAUUGAAUGGAGGGGAUCUGUGGUACAGGUUAAACGUUUGAGUAAGGUGGAUGUAAAUUACCAUAUAUUAUGUAAAUUUAUAUACACACACUGAUAGGGGUGUGAAUGAGCUGAGCUCAUCUCUUUUGGCAAGCUCGAGCUCGAGUUCGAUUCUAUUUUAUUGAGCUCGAGCUCGUCGAGUUCCUUCUGUUUUGACUCGAGCUCGAGCCCAAGCUCAUUUUGUUAUUUUUUUUUUAUAUAAAUAUUUUUGGGUAAAUUACAACCACCCCCGAGGUAUGGUCAAAUUACGAAAAAACCUCAUGUUUGGAUAAAUACAUCUACCCCUUAACUAUGAAUUUUCUUACAUCUCCACCCUUAUGGUGCCAAAUUCAAUAUAAUCAUUUACAUUCACAUCUUAUGAUCAUCUAACUUUAAAAUUGGAGCUCGAAAGGAAUAAAACGGGUCCAAAAGUGAGAAUAUUCCAUAUAAUCUAGAAGAUUCCACUAAAUUUGAUACCGCAAGGGUGGUCAUGUAAGAAGAUUUAUAGUUGAGGGGUGGUUGUAAUUACCCAAACAGAAGGGGAGUUUUCGUAAUAUGACCAUACCUUAGGGGUGGUUGUGAUUUACCCAAUAUUUUUUUAAAUAAAAAAAUAUUUAGAUACAAAAUAAACAAUAAAUUGUAAUUAUAUAUAUUUUUUAAUAUUAUUAUUUUAUUUUUAUUUAUUUCUUUAAUAUUUUAUAUUAUUAUGCAUUAUUUAAAUAAAAAAAUAAUAUCUAAAAAUAAAAUAAAAAUAAAAAUAAAAUAAGGCUCGCGAGCCGACGGGUGAGCUCACUAACAACUAAAAACUGGCUCGAACUCGAAAAGCUCGAAUUCAAUUUCGAAUUUUUUUCGAGCCGGCUCAUCAAGCUCUCGGCUCGACUCGUUUACCACCACUACACACACAUAUUAAUCUAUAUAUAAUAUAAAAAGAGGAUCUAUGCUCUAUAUGAAUGACAUGUGUCAAAUGUUGAUGUCAUACAUCCAAAUUGCUUAGUUGGAGUUCAAUUGAUGAGGUGUAAUUCUUAAUUGGUUAGUUGUCAUUUUUCAUUUGGUAUGUAUUUAAAUUCUUUCCUAUUUAACAUUUGUACACUCAUUUAAACAUUUACCACAUGUAUAUAUAUAUAUAUAUAUAUAUAUAUAUAUAUAUAUAUAUUAUUUUCCAAAUUUAAUAUUCUAUAAAUUCGAAAAAUAUUAUAUUAUUUAUAGUUUCAAUAUUCCAAAAUAUAUUUAUUGACUGUCUUUUUAAAAAAAAAUCUCAAUACUCAUUGUUUUACGAAUAUUCAAAUAAUUUUCCGAAAAAAUAUUUAUUGUAAUAUUCAAAUAUUAAAAUAAAGGAAUACAAUUAUAUAUUUUUUUUUAAUUUUCAAUAUUUUGGAAUAUUCGAAUAUCCAUUCAAUAAAUAAAAUUAUCAACAAAAUUGUUUUAUUUUUACAUUGUACUUAAUAAAUAUACAAUAAUUUUUGUUAAUAAUAAUUUGAAAUUGCGUAUUUCUAUUAUAAGUUCAAUGAAUUAUAUACUUGAUUAAUUUAUAAAAUUUGUACUAUUUAAUUAAUACAUUAUUAUAUCUUGAAUUUUUUUAAUUUUCAGAUUUAAAAAAAAUAUAUAUAUAUAUAUAUAUAUAUAUAUAUAUAUAUAUAUAUAUAUAUAUAUAUUAAGUUCGAAAAAUAUUAUCUUUUUAGUAUUUUAUAUUUUUCGAAAUAUAUUUUCCACCUAUAUUUUUUUUUAAUUCAGAAAACUCAAUUCUUUAUGUAUGAAUAUUCAAUUAUUUUAUUUUAUGGAUAUAUUUUCAAUUUUUUUUUAGUAUUAUGUUUAUAUUUCGUACUUUUAUGUAUUUUUAGUAUUAAUUCCUUGAAAUAUAUUAUAUUUAUAGAAUUUGAAAAAAGUAAUUCGAAAAAUCAUGUUCUUAUGUAAUGAUUUGAUUUUAUUAUAUUCAAUUUUAUUUCCUAAUUAUCUUUCUUUAUUUGCAUUCAUUUGUGAAUAAAAUGAUUUUAUACCACAAGUCCGUGGGUGGUUUUGGUUUUUCUCCAUACAAUUGGUGGCUCGAAUUAUGCUUCAUCUUUUUUCUUUUAUUACCUAAUUGAUUUUUCAUCCACAGAUUCAUGCAUGCAAUUUUUCGUAUUGAUUUUCUACCAUAAAUAACAAUGUAUCAAGUUUUAAUUACACCUUUAACUCCAAAAUUUUCAACGCAAAAUAAUUGAUAAUACAUAUAUUAAUAUGUAAUCAAUUAAUAUCAAUAUAAAAUCUUGCUCAUUUAAUUACAAGAUUAUAAUCAAAUCAAUAAUAAUUUAUUUUCCUUUUUAAAUACGCCUAAAAAAAAUCCUCUUACAUCACAUCCAAAACAUUAUAAAUACGCCAUUUUUUUCUCACUCAGUUCCUCACAUCAUAACACUAUAUUGUUCGCAAGUUCGUUCGUUUUUUCUUUGUAUUGAUCAUCAUUUGUCUCUUUUUUAAUUCUGAUUUUUAGUUAAUAAGCCAAAAUCAGUUAUUGUAUAGACUUAGUUUUGUUUAUUUCAUUAUUUAUUUUGACGAUUGUUGAUAUUUUAUCAUGUUGUUGUUCUUUCAUUAUACAUGUAUAAUGUAAUAUAUCUUUUAUUUUAACGUUAAACCAUUAAAUUUUUUAUUGUUUGAUUGUAGUUGCUUUCAAUAUUAACUAAAAAAAAUUGCAUUGCAGAUUUAUACGAUGACAUUUAACGAGGAAAUUCUCCUGUUGGUGAAGAACUAUCGUUGAUUGAUUGUUUAACAUGAUCGAUUCAACUCGAUUGGAUUAUGAACUGAUGAAUCACAAAGAUUUAAACGACUAACUCUGUAAAGGGUUGUUAGAAGCAAUAUUGAGUAGAUAAUUAAUCAAACGAAGAAUACGCAACAUGUCGUAUUGACUAUGUCUUUUAUCUAGAGAUCGCGUAGUAAGGUUUUCUAAUAAUUACGAUGGAAUAUAUUUUAUAAGUUGUGAUUUUAUACAAUAUACUCUACUGCAAUCUGUCAUUUUGAAUUUAUGGUGAAACAAAUCAGUUGUGUCUACAAAUAUAUGUCUAUAUUUUUGCCAUGUUUAUUCGAUUUCAUAUUGCCCUUUUUUUUCUUUUUUUUUGUUAAUAAUUUGAGUUUUUGCUAUUAUAUAGACAUUAAAAAAAUACUAAUUUGUGUGUUUCAAUAUUUUUGCUAUUAUACAAUUAUUUUUGUAAGUACAAUAGUAUUUUAUUUACAUUAUUAUGGUAAUAUUUAUAUUUAUUUUAAUCACAACAAAAUAUAUUUUUGGUAAAAUAUAAAUAGAUUUCUUUAAUCAUACUCCUUUGAAAUUAUUAAUAUCUUUAAAUUCAAAAUAUGCACAAGAGUACUUUAUUUAAAUUAUUAUGGCAAUAUUUGUAUUUAUUUUAAUCACCACAAAAAAAAAUUAUUAAAAUAUUAGAAGUUUUUUUUAGCCCUUAUUGUUAAUCAUUAUAUAAUGAUAUGGCCAACUUUCUUUCAUUAUAAAUUGAUAUGUUUCUCAUAAAUGAACAUAUAUAAUUAAAAUAAAUGGCAUUUAAAAUAUAUGUAGUAAUGUUUAUACGAGUGUGCAAAUAUUAAAUAGAAAAUAAGUUAAACACAUAUCAAAAUUAAAAGGUCAACUAAUCAAUUGAGGAAUAACAUCAUCAAUUGAACUUCAAUUAAGUAAUUUGGAGGUAUGACAUAAGCAUCUACCAUACUUCACAUAUCAUUCAUAAGGGACGCGACAUAAACCUUUUUUUAUAUUAUAUAUAUUUUAAUAAUAGUUCGAAUGUAAACAUUGUUAAUAGCAGGAAAAUCAAUUUUCACAUACAUUACUUUGUUACAUAAUGGAAAUAAAGUUUAUAAAUAUAUGGACGAUUUGUCAAGAUUUAUUUUUAUUUUAAUUCAUAUGUUAUGUAUCAGAGGAUUUAUUUAAUUAUAGUUUAAGAAUAUUAAAUUCAAUGUGUUUUCUUAAUAACUUAUUAUUUAGUUUUUUAUGCAUAAAAAAUAAGUAUAAAUAUUUCAAUGUAACUUAUUAGUAUAAAUAUUUGCAGGUUACUAUCAAUUUCCAGAAGGUGCUUACUAUUAGUAUUAGUAUUAGGUAUAAGAUUAGGAUUAGAAUCUGAUUAAUAUUGGUAUUAGGAUUAUAAUUAAGUUUCAGAUUAGAAUUAACAGCAACAUUAUAAUUAAGAUUAGGAUUAAAAUUAUUGGAAUUUGGAUAAGAAUUAGCAUUAGCAUGUUAGGAUUAAGACUAUAAUUAGUACAUUAGGAUUUACAUUAACUUAAUAUUAACAUUAGCAUUGUCGUAUUAGUAUUUAAUUAAGCAUUAAAAUAUUAGUAUUAAUAUUCGCGUUAGCAUUAAUAUUAGCAGUAGCAUUUAUCAUUAACAUUAGUAUUGCCAUUAACAUUACCAUUAGUACUAUAAUUAGUAUUUGGACUAUGAUUAUAUUAUGAUUAGCAUUCACAUUAGUAUUAGCGUUAACAUUAGCAUUAGCAUAUUAGAAUUAGCAUUAAUAUCUAGAUUAACAUUGGCAUAUUAGAAUUAGAAUUAACAUUAGCAUAUUAGAAUUAGAAUUAGCAUUAGUAUUAGUAUAAGGAUUAUUAUUAUAAUUAGUAUUAGAAAUACGAUUAUGAUUAGUACUAAUAUUAAGAUGAAGCUUAAGAUUAUGAUUUUGAUUAUAAUUAGUAUUAGAAAUACGAUUAUAAUUAAUACUAAUAUUAAGAUUAAGAUUAAGAUUAUGAUUAUGAUUAUAUUUAAGAUUAUAACUAUGAUUACGAUUAAUAUUAGCAUUAGAAUUAAGAUAAUGAUUAGGAUCAAGAUUAUGAUUAUUAGAAUUUGUACUACAAUUAGCAUUAGCAUUAGUAUAUUAGGAUUAUGAUUGUCAUUAACAUUGGCAUAUUAGAAUUAACAUUAGCUUAGUAUUAACAUUAGCAGGUAAUAUUAGUAUAGUAUUAGUAUAGUAUUAGUAUUAGUAUUAGUAUUAGUAUUAGUAUUAGUAUUAGUAUUAGUAUUAGUAUUAGUAUUAGUAUUUUUAUUUGUAUUAGUAUUAGUAUUAGUAUUAGUAUUAGUGUUAGUAUUAGUAUUAGUAUUAGUAUUAGUAUUAGUAUUAAUAUUAGUAUUAAUAUUAGUAUUAGUAUUAGUAUUAGUAUUAGUAUUAGUAUUAGUAUUAGUAUUAGUAUUAGUAUUAGUAUUAGAGUUAGUAUUAGUAUUGGCAUUAACAUUAGUAUUGGCAUUAGUAUUAUUAUUGGUAUUAGUAUUAGUAUUGGUAUUGGUAUUAGUAUUAGUAUUAGUAUUAAUAUUAGUAUUAGUAUUGGUAUUGGUAUUAGUAUUAGUAUUAGUAAUGUGUUAGUAUUAGUAUUAGUAUUAAUAUUAAUAUUAGUAUUAGUAUUAGUAUUAGUAUUAAGUUUCCGUUAAGGAUCCGAGUGUAUUGGAUGAGAUAGUUGCUUCAUUUGGGUGAGAUAAUAUAUCUUAUUUUUUAUAUCAUAAUUUUUGUAUUUUAUAUUUUCAUUUAUUAUUUAUUUUAUUUGUAUCAGUAUUUAAAUCGAAUGGAAUUGCUAUUGUUUAAAAUAAAUUAGAUUAUAUCAUAUAUAUAUCAACUAUUCAAAGUUUCCAUUCGAGUAUUUAUCUUAAACAUAUUUUCAGUUUUUAUAUUACCCUUACGCAUCGCAUUAACAUCCGCUUUUCUUUCAUAAAGGUGUUUGAUCUAUCUCAUCGACGUGUUUAGUAAUUAAAAAAAUUGUACUUAGAACUGAUCCCCGUGCAUCGCACGGGUGAGUUACUAGUAUAUAUAUAAAGAUAAUCUAGUGGUUGGCCCUCACAAUAUUUUAUGUUAACUCACCCAUUAUUAAUUGAUUUUUAGGGGCAAAGAGGGCAAGUUGCAACUAAAUUUAUGCAAUGUUGUUUUCUGCAAAUUAUAUUAUUAAUAUUGUUUUAGUAGUAGCCACCCCACUCCCACUCCAAACUAGUAAAAGUGAAGUGCUAAAGGUGAAGAAGAUGCCUUCCCAUCCCAUCUAUCCACUUUUUUACAUCUUCACUGUAACUACCUUCAACAAGAAUAUUCCUUAAAUGUAAUGCCCAUUUACUCCUGGAAUACAACAAUUACUCUUACAUUUUUUUUUUUUUUGUAUCAUUAAUUCAUUUUACCCACCCUUGUAAUUUUUUAUUUCUUUUUGUGUGUGUGUGGUGGGGACAAAGCUCAAGAAAUUGAACUCAACCCCCUUUCACGUGAUGCUGAUUUACAUAUUUGCCCUCCUCCGUUCAGUGAUUCUUCUUCGUCCUUGUUUUUUCAUGAAUUUUUGGCUUUCUGGGGGCUGUAUUUGUCUGCAUAUUCCUAGUUUUUUGACAAGCCUAAUUUGAAAUUUCACUUGUCCUUUUUCUUUCUUUCUUUAUUUUUUUUCUGAGGAAGCACCCACGCACGCACGCACCUUGUAAUAAUAUAUAUAUAUAUAUAUAUAUAUAUAUAUAUAUAUAUAUAUAUAUAUAUAUAUAUAUAUAUAUAUAUAUAUAUAUAUAGUGUUUUUUUUUUCUGUUGGUUUUUUAUAUUCUUUUAGCGAUGAUGAUGAUUGCUGUUGAAGGUGGAUAGAGGGUUUUAUGGAGCAAGUAAAGUAAUAUCAAGUUCACAUGUUUUGCUGAAAGGUUCUUUUUUUUUUUGCUCUGCUUUUUUUAUAUUACUACUUGUGCUGAUAAUCUGACUUGAAAGAUUGGAUCUUGGCAUUUACAAAUUGCCCAAUAAUAUUUAUUUCUUGCAGUUUUACUUUGUUUCUGUGAAAUCUUGGGUGUGGAUUUUAUAUAUAUAUUAGUGGAUAUAUAUAUUCAGAUUGCGUGAAGGAAGUGAUGUCAUCGAAAUCGACAACGAACAGGACCAACUGUUCCAAGAACAGCUCUGCUAGGUCAAAACAAGGUGCUCAUAUAGUAGCUCAAACACCAAUCGAUGCCAAGCUCCAUGGCGAUUACGAACUUUCCGACCAGCAAUUCGAUUACUCCACUUCUGUUAAUGUGUCCAAUGCCGUUUCCGACAUCCCUUCUUCAACGGUAUCGACGUACCUUCAGAAGAUGCAAAGGGGAAGCCUUAUUCAGCCUUUCGGCUGCUUAAUUGCAAUCGAAGUACACAAUUUCUGUGUGUUGGCACACAGUGAGAAUGCACCAGAAAUGCUGGACUUAGCUCCGCACGCAGUUCCAAGCAUCGAACAACAAGACGUUUUGACUUUUGGUACCGAUGUUAGGACACUCUUUCGACCCUCGGGUGCUGCGGCACUUCAAAAGGCGGCCAAUGCCGGGGAAGUUAAUAUGCUUAAUCCGAUAUUGGUCCACAGUAAAAACUCGGGCAAACCCUUUUACGCCAUUCUACACCACGUCGAUGUCGGGCUAGUCAUAGAUUUUGAACCCGUGAAUCCAGCCGAUUUGCCGGUGACAGCUGCCGGUGCGUUGAAAUCGUAUAAACUCGCGGCCAAAGCCAUUUCUAGACUACAAUCUCUGUCGAGCGGGAGUAUAUCGGUUUUGUGCGAUAUAUUGGUUAGAGAAGUGAUGGAUUUAACCGGUUACGACAGAGUGAUGGUUUAUAAGUUUCACGAUGAUGCGCACGGGGAAGUUGUUGCCGAGUGCUGCAGCCGGCCUGGUUUGGAGCCUUAUCUUGGCUUGCAUUAUCCCGCCACCGAUAUACCACAGGCAUCGAGAUUUCUGUUUAUGAAGAAUAAAGUUAGGAUGAUAUGCGAUUGCUUAGCACGACCCGUUAAAGUGAUUCAAGACACGGCAUUGGCUCAACCGCUGAGCCUUGCUGGAUCGACGUUAAGGUCUCCGCACGGGUGUCACGCACAUUACAUGGCGAACAUGGGAUCUAUUGCAUCGUUGGCCAUGUCUGUAAUGAUAAACGAGGAUGAUGGUGACGAUGAUGAUGCGACGGAUAGUAGUCAGCAGAAGAGAAGAAAGCUGUGGGGUUUAGUGGUUUGCCACCAUACGGAGCCGAGGUUCAUCCCGUUUCCGUUAAGGUACGCGUGUGAGUUUUUGGUUCAGGUUUUCAGUGGUCAAAUGAACAAGGAGGUUGAGUUGGCAGCUCAGCUGAAGGAGAAGCAUAUACUGCAAACUCAAACUGUGCUUUGCGAUAUGCUGCUGAGAGAUGCUCCGACGGGGAUUAUGACUCAGUCGCCUAAUGUGAUGGACCUCGUUAAGUGCGACGGAGCUGCACUUUACUACCGUAAAAAGUGCUCGUUGCUUGGGGUUACACCCACAGAGGCACAAGUUGAAGAUAUUGCUAAAUGGCUUGUCGAAUGCCAUGGUGGCAGUACGGGAUUGAGUACAGACAGCCUUAUGGAAGCAGGAUAUGCGGAAGCUUCCGCUCUCGGGGAUGCCGUUUGCGGAAUGGCUGCAGUGAAGAUUACUUCCGGUGGUUUCUUGUUCUGGUUCCGUUCGAACACGGCAAAGGAGAUUAAGUGGGGUGGUGCGAAACACGACCCUGCCGACAAAGACGAUUCGAGAAAGAUGCACCCGAGGUCGUCGUUUAAAGCCUUUCUCGAGGUGGUUAAGAGGAGAAGCUUACCGUGGGAAGAUGUGGAGAUGGAUGCAAUUCAUUCGCUUCAGCUGAUAUUGAGAGGCUCUUUGAAAGACGAGAUAGCCGAAGAAGAUUCCAAAAUGAUUGUGAGAGUCGAGACGAAGGUGGAUGAACUGCGCGUCGUGACUAAUGAAAUGGUUAGACUGAUUGAAACUGCAUCGGUACCUAUUUUGGCUGUGGAUUCGUCUGGUAUCGUCAAUGGCUGGAAUACAAAGGUGGCCGAACUUACGGGUCUGGAUUUACAGCAAGCUCUCGGUACACCAUUUGUUGAUCUCGUAGUCGAUGAUGCAGCUCCCAGAAUGAAUGAUAUUCUCUCUCUAGCUUUGCAAGGUUAUAUAAACUCUUACUUACUCUGUCUUUCAGACCCUUGCUUUGUAAGUUAUGUUAUCGUAAAAUAAUCGACUAUUAAUUGCAGGCAAGGAAGAGAAGAACGUAGAAAUCAGACUGAAGACGUUCGGCGGUCAGGAGAACAACGGUCCGAUAAUCUUGGUUGCUAAUGCAUGUUGCAGUCGAGAUGUGAACGAAAAUAUAGUUGGCGUUUGCUUUGUCGGGCAAGAUGUUACUGCCCAAACUAUGGUGUUGGACAAAUACAAUCGUAGAUUCGUUGAGAGGUCAGCUAUCAUGUGGAACCCGAGUCCGCUAAUUCCUCCUAUUUUUAUGAUGGAUGAGUUCGGCAAGUGCGUCGAAUGGAACGACGCAAUGCAAAAACUGUCGGGCCUGAAGAAGGAACAAGCCGUUCAACAAAUGCUUCUCGGUGAGGUCUUCACGGUUCACUCAAACGGCUGCAGAGUCAAAGACGAAGACACGCUAACAAAGCUCAGAAUAUUACUUAAUAACGUCAUUUCUGGUCAAGAUUCGGAUAAAUUCGUCUUUGGGUUUUUCGAUCGGCAGCAAAAAUACGUACAAGCGUUGAUUUCGGCAAACAAGAGGACUGAUUCCGAAGGCAAAAUCACCGGAGUUUUGUGCUUUCUUCACGUUGCUAGUCCAGAACUUCAACAUGCAAUGAAGGUGCAAAAGAUAACCGAGCGAGCGGCGGCAAAUACCCAAACAAAGUUGGCUUAUAUUCGGAGCGAACUGAGAAAUCCGUUGAGUGGAAUUAACUGUGUCCAGAAAAUGAUGAAAUCCUCGAAUUUGAGCAAAGAACAGAAGCAGCUUUUAAAGACUAGUGAAUUGUGUCGAAAUCAAUUGGCUAAAAUCGUUGGUGAUACUGAUAUCGAAGCCAUCGAGGAAAGGUAUGAUUUAUAGCUACUAAUAAUCAAUUUAGUGAAAUAAUCAAUUUCGAUGUUUUGUACGUAUUUGUUUGCUCACAUCAAAUAAACAAGAGUUAAUGGAUCGGAAGUCUAAUUUUGCAGUUAUGUGGAGAUGAGCUCUGAGGAAUUUAGUGUUGGGGAAGCUUUACGAGUGGUGAUGAAUCAAGUUACGAUUCUGAGUCGGGAGAGAGACGUGAAAAUCAUAUACGAUAUACCCGAUGAAGUGUCUUGUAUGCGCCUAUACGGUGAUAUAUUGAGGCUGCAACAACUUCUUUCCGACUUUUUAGCUACCGCGCUCAUGUUCACUCCGCCUUUUCAAGAAUCGUCUAUUUAUUUCUGUAUAAUUCCCAGAAAGGAGAGUAUAGGGACACAGAUGCAUGUUGUCCAUUUCGAAUUCCGGUUAGUAUGUAUGAUUACGUACAUUGAAAUAAUUUGUGUUUGUACGACUUUUUUCGACUUUAAAAAAAAAAUCUGUGUUUUUGUGGUGGUGACAGGAUUAGUCAUCCAACGCCGGGGGUUCCGGAAGAGUUGAUACAAGAGAUGUUUUGUUACAACAAUAAUGUAUCGAGAGAAGGACUCGGGCUAUACAUGAGUCAAAAGCUCGUCAAAACUAUGAACGGCACCGUACAAUACCUUAGGGAAUCAGAAAGAGCAUCUUUCGUCAUCCUACUACAAUUUCCGUUUGCAAACAAUAUAGUAGUAGGAAGCUAAUAAUGCUGAUGAUUGAAUAAUAAUAAUAGUACAUUCUGACAGAACACCUUUGAUACAUAUAUAUCUGUAUAUGUAUAGGCGCGCCUGUAAAUGAAAUAAAUAUAUAUUUGCCGCAAAGGUACGAACAUUAGGAAUUAUAUCACAGGUCACUGAAUAGAGAUGACGACGAUGAUUUAAAAAAUAGUUAUAUGUGAAUAUAUUGUCUCCAGCUUCUUUCUUUGGGUUUACGGCAUCAUCGUUUGCAGCUGCGUCAAAACACACUAUUGCCCAGGUAUGUAUAUCUUUCCAUCUUUGGCGUUAAAUAAGCGUUAAUUCUGAAAUACUAGUGACUUAAAAAUCGGUUGCGAAAUCACAGUUCAAAUGUCGUCUGCUGCUGUAUACUUCAUUAACAAGGAUUUCAUCGCGAAAUUAAUUAAUCUUUGAUUUAUUUUGGGUUGCAGGAAUUGAUGGCUUCAUUAACAUGCACUACAUGGAAGAUCCUCUAAGAUUAGAGGGCUCUGUUACACACAUUUUCCUUCAUUUUAUAUUUUGAUGAAAUGAGAUUUUAAUGAUACUUUUGUAACAUCAUCGAUUGCUAUUAUUUUUUAUGAAAAAAACUUUCUUCUUUCAGGAAUUUUUAAAAAUUAUAUCUUUAUAUGAAAUAUAUUUUUCAAAAAUUGUUCCUCAAAGCAAGAAAGGAAAAUUUUAAAUUUAGCAACUAAAAAAUUAUAUGGCAUCUUAUCUCGACUUUUAUUUGAUGCAAUAUGAAUUACGAUCAAGGAUGUACAAAGCGGAAAUUGGGUCGGAUGCGGUUAGGCAUCACCUUAAGAUUAGUCGGCGCGGUGGUGAUUAAUUAUCGGAAAUAAAUUCGUGUUUCAAAUUUAAUGUAAUAUAUUUCUAGAUAUUAUUUGUAGAUUCUCAAAAUAUAUAUACAAAUAUAUUUAAUUAAAUAUAUCCACAUCAUUUAUAUAUCAUAAUCACAUAACAAAACUUUAACAAUAAUAAGAUCAUAAUAUAAUAAAAAUACUUACAAAAUACAAAUAAAACGAAAAACUUCUGCAUUAAAAAAUUAUGCGAAUAAUGAAAGCAUAUGUUUUAGGUUCUUGAAAAAUGACAAUUAACAUAAACAAAACGAAACAUAUACUCUUCUUUUUUUUUUUUUUUUUUAUUAAAAGUCCAACUUUUUUUUUUGGUAAUUAAAAAAAAACGAGUUUUGACCAAUUUUUUGAUCCGCCUCGAAGGUUGACGGCCUAGGACCGCCUCACAAAUUAAAACCGAAUUUUCAAAUCUUUAUAAAAAUCAUAAAUAUAUUAGACCGGCUUCUCUCGAAGAUCUAUUAAUCAGUGGCCUCGACCGAUUUUUAGAACAUUGUGAUUACCAUACGAUCAGUGGCGGAUCUAGCUAUGGUCUACUGCACACUCUUGAUUUUAAAGAUAUAGUACUAUUAUACAUGUGUUGACAGAAAAAAUAGGUGGUUGAGGUGGUAAAGGUAUGCCUCCUUUUAUGAGUAGGUUCCAGUUCGAACUCUACCCCUUUCAAUAUUUGAUUUCUUUUCCAAAUCUUAACAUUUUUCACCUUUUUGUUCCACUAUUUUGAUUUUUUUCCAAAUCUUAACAUUUUUCACCUUUUUGUUCCACUAUUUUGAUUUUUUUUCACCUUUUUUCUGAAUAAAUAUUUACACAACCCCUUGGCAAAAAUCCUGGAUCCGCCACUGCAUGAGUAGGUUCCGGUUCGAACUCUACCCCUUUCAAUAUUUGAUUUCUUUUCCAAAUCUUAACACUCUACCCCUUUCAAUAUUUGAUUUCUUUUCCAAAUCUUAACAUUUUUCACCUUUUUGUUCCACUAUUUUGAUUUUUUUCCAAAUCUUAACAUUUUUCACCUUUUUGUUCCACUAUUUUGAUUUUUUUUCACCUUUUUUCUGAAUAAAUAUUUACACAACCCCUUGGCAAAAAUCCUGGAUCCGCCACUGCAUACGAUGUACCUGGAUUCAAAUAAAUAUAUUUCUUCACGUAGAGGUUGUAUUACGAAAACAAAAAAAUAUUGGGGUGAAAAUGUAAAAUGCCCCUUUUUGGGAAAAAAAUACCAAAACUCAACAACAUAAAUUGGGACAGCGAAGCAACAUUAACCGAUACUUUUUGCCGCUUUAAUAUUGUUUGUCGGAGUAAAUGGAUUCUCUGUAUAAGAAAUUGGAAUCCUGAAAACCUAAUUAUUUGUUCAAAUUUUGAUUUGCUCAGCGAAUGGGUCGUUCACGCGCUGCCUCUCAAGCCGCCGUCGAUGAUCCUGGACAGAGGUUCGACCAGUUUCUUCUUCCUCAUUUUUCAAAUUUAGGGUUUUUAAUUUUUAAUUUUUUAAUUUCGAUAAUCUGCCGCGCCAUUGAAUUUUAUAUUGAAUUCGAGUUGGUUAGGCUCUAAAAUGAAUUCAAUUACAGGGCUUUGCCAUUUCAGCCUGGACUCUGUUUUGAGCUUGUUAAGAAAACAAGUGUAUGCAUUGAGCGUGAAAUUAGGCUUUCUUUUUGAGCUGAUUGUAGUUGUAAGCCUUAAUGAUCUUGGAUUAGGGAGUGGCUCAGAUGAAUUAGUAUGUGAAUUCCCAGUACUUGCUAGGCAUACUUAUUUUUGGCUCGAGCAACUUGAUGUUGAAUUCUUGGACAACUAUAACAUGUGGCCGCGUAAUCACACGCUCACACUUAAAUGCACUCGUUCAUUUAUGUACAUGUCUAUUUAAAAAACAAUUUAGCUAAAUGCUGUGUCUCUUUAGUCUUUAUGUCGUUGUUUCCAUGUUAUUGACCUUCAAGGUUUAUUUUCCAAAGUUAUGUGUUUGUUCAUAAAUGUAUGCAGAUAUUAUUUUAUGGAUAAUAUUACACAUUUAUUGAUACGAUACUGUAUAAAUUGAAAUUUCAGCCGGUCAAAGAGAAAACGCACAACACAGAAUGUGGAUAAUACUGACAGUGCGACUCCUGGUAUGGAUAUAACUUUGAACUUAUUCUCAAUUAUCCGAACAACUUUUUGUCCUAGGCUUUUCUUACAUGCAGUUAAUUUGUAUAUGAAGAGUUCCCGGGAAUAACUGAUGGAAAGAAGGCGUUGUACCAUUGUAACUACUGCAACAAAGACAUUUCGGGAAAGAUUAGGAUCAAGUGUGUAGUAUGUUCUGAUUUUGACCUCUGUAUUGAGUGUUUUUCUGUCGGAGCUGAGGUGUACCCUCAUAAAAGCAACCAUCCUUACAGAGUCAUGGUCAGUUAAAUUUGAAGCCUCAUACUCUUAUUUCUGUUAUUUUAUUAUUAUGUACAAGAUCUGAAUGAUUUUUCAUCUGCAAAAGUUAUGUAUACGUUUUUUGUGCCUGCAUAAAGUCCCUUCAUUUCAUGUUGUUGGAUACAUUUGCAAGCAUUGGACAUUGCUUGUGAACUAUGUCUUCAUAUCUGUGUAGUUAGAACUUAGAAACAAAAUAUGGAGCGAAUGUUUAGUUUAUUUGCUUGUUCUAGGGAAGUGUACAAGGGAAUAUGAUGUAUAUCUGCUUUAUUUGGCUGUGUGUUCUGAAGUGCAAUGACUACUAUGUUUUCAAAUAUUUAAAUUUAGGGAGAAGAGAAAAUUGUUUUAGAGGAAAAUAAAUGUAAGGAAAAAAGUGUAUAGAUAUUUGGCUGUAAUUUUGGGAGAAUAAAAAUGAAAUGAAUAUGAAAAAAAUGGCCUGAGUUAUUGGCCAAAUAAUUGGAGUUAUUUCAACGAUUUGGUAGAAGUGGAGUCUAGAUCAAUAUGGCCGUGUUGUGUGAAUGAGAAAGUGAACUUUCUUAUAUAUUAUGCCAAUGGGGAUGUGAGAUGCAACAUGAAACAGAAGAAUAAUGACUGCGGAUGGAGAGAUUAUUUAUUAUUGCAAUGAUUCCAAGUUUAUCUUUUCUUUUCUUUUUUCCUUUUAAUUUUAUUUUUGCUCUUGUAACACCAUGCUUUGUCCCUUGAUUCUUAUUUGCUGUUUUUAUGGCAACAAGGAGCAAAACAUGUUUCGUAGUACCGAGAAUAUUAGACCUAAACAUGAAAUCUGUUUCAAUUCAUGAUCUGUAAAACAAAUGCUAUUUCCUUUCCCAAUUCGUUUGACCUUUCUUUGAUCAAGAGAAAUGUUUGGAUGUCCCAUGGUUUAAUAGUUCUAUCACAAUUUUUGUGCUCUCCUUUAUUUCCUGUCAACAAACAUUUUUCUUACAAAGAACGCUGACUAUAUGCAUCACUUUUGAAAUUUUGUACCUUUCUGAAGAACUACUAUAAUAGAGGCCAAAUUCCAUUCGAUUGACAUGACCAUGGCCUAUUAUCUGAUGUCUGAUAUUAAACAUUUGGGCAUAGGAUAUCUUCAUUUCUAAAGAGGGGCAAUUAUUCCAAAUUUGUAUUGUAAACCAUCUUUGUUUUGUAUUUGUCCACAUUUUUCUUAAUACUGCUUGGACGACAGAGUUUUACAACUAGUAUGGGUUAACCAUUUUUCUUGCUACUACUUUUUGUCAUUUCUAUUUCAACAGGACAACCUUGCAUUUCCGCUUAUAUGUCCUGACUGGAAUGCUGAUGAGGAGAUGUUACUUCUAGAGGUGCGUUUCAUUCUCUGUUUAAGUGAAAAACUCUUUUUUUUGGUAACUUACGUGUAAUAUUGAAUUUGAAGUUCUACAAUGGAGGUCCUUUUCAAAUUAAGCUCAUAAGCCUUAUCCAAUUUUUUUUAUUUUUUUUUGUAAUUCAUCUAUCAAUCCUCAAUAUGGUUACUGCUUACCAGCAUAUUAUCGGCAACCCAUUUCUGUUUCUGCAUUUUGAAAGGCUAUAUAUCUUUUGCAGGGUCUUGAAAUGUAUGGGUUAGGGAAUUGGAAUGAAGUUGCAGAACAUGUUGGAACAAAAAGUAAAUUACAAUGUAUUGACCAUUAUGACAAAGUUUUUAUGAAAUCCUCAUGCUUUCCUCUUCCGGUAUGUCAUAUUAUUCUACAAACUUAACUAUUUUUCCGUAGGGUUUAGUUUGAAACGUUAGCUUAUCAUGCUGGUAUCGUAGGACAUGUCUCAUGUGAUGGGCAAGAGUAGAGAGGAACUGCUUGCUAUGGCCAAAGAACAUGGUGAAACAAAAGAAGGUAUUUGGUUGGAUAUAUGUUACUUCUCCUUUUCUAUUAAUUGUUUGCUAAUUGUAGAAGAAAAACUUGCAAAAGGUGAAAUUAUGGUGUGUACUAGUUAUUUUUUGCAUUACACUACAACUGGCACUUUGUUUUUAUGGCUGUCUCUUACUGCAAGUGUGCUACUUCUACUCCUGUUAAUUUGUAAUAAUGGUUGCCCUACCCAGUGCUUGCUAACGUUAAUCUAUUGCAUUAUUACUUAUAGCCAACAAUUAUCAACUUUAAUAUCUGGUUUAUGUAUAGUUUAAUUCAUAGUUCCAGCUGCCUUUGAUUAUUAAACCUUAUUACCGCAGGAGCUACGACUUUUGGAGAAGUUGAUGGGAAAGAACAGUCUCCAUUCUCUGCAAGAAUCAAGUAUACUUGGACAAAUGUUUUGAGUAUUUCCUAAUUGGACCUCAUUGGUAGUCAUUCUGAUUCCGAUUGUUUUGUGUGGUCAGGACGGAAGAUCAAAGAAAAGAAGGUCAAUCAGGACGCUCCUCAAGCAUUUCUUCUGGUACAGUAGCUAGGCCUUAUUGUACUGUUUUUAACUAGAAAUUUCACAUAUGCAAGCACAAUUUUUUUUUUUUGUAUUAUUCCUUAACGAUGAAUGUAAUGGUUGCACACUGUGACCUAUCAUCUCUCUCAGAGGUAGACACUAUUGGAGGUUCUGGUUGUGGUAAAAUGUCAGCGGGAGCCACUAAGAGGAUGUCCAGCGAAGUCCCGAGCAAUGAUGCACCACCCGAUAGGGUUAAAGUUGAAGGUGUGCAUUAUUCUUCCAAUAAAGUAUUGCGGUGGUUACUUUUAUUAGUGCCACGCUGCCAUCUAAAUCCAUUGAUUGUGUUUAAUAUGUUACUUAUUCUACAGUAUGUUUUGUGCCUAGUAUAAGUUGCUAAUCGUCCUCGUGCAAACUAGCUGCAAAUGUACAUUUUCUGUUUGGGUGGUUCUGCAGUCAAUUUGACGAGUUAUUUAUUUAUGGGUUGACCCUUUUAUGGAAAUUGAGAUGAGUUAGUGCACAAACAAUUCCAACCGAACAUUCUUGUGUGUUCUAGUUUUAGUUUAAGGAAAGCUGUUCACCUGUUUGCCAGUUAAUACUCGUCUUCCGCUGUUACUUUAUUUGGCUCGUCUAAAUCCAACUAGGAAAUCUAGUUUUGAGCCCAACGGAGUAGAAGAUAAUUGUGCAUUUGCUGUUUAUAUCUACAGUAGAGCCUCAAUAAUUUAAUACUCGGUCAAUUAAUAACAUCCUUAAAUUACAUUUUUCGUGAAUUCCUACUUAGGGACCGCAUGCUAAACUAUAAUUUGCUAAGUUUAUACGAUAACAAAAAUGAGAAUUCAUAUAGAACCCAUUCAAUAUAUAUUUUAACAAUACCUUAAAAUACAGGAAUGUAUCUUUAGUAUAUAGCACAGUUAGGAUUAAUUUACAAACUUCUAGUUACACUAAAUGGAAAGAUUUGAACGAAGGAUUCGAAACCCAUUCUACAUGUUUCGGUUGAUUCAUUUGACAAUGAAUUUCAAAUUCUUAGCAGUUAUUUUAGGUUAUAUUUUGAGUUGUGGAUUUCAAAUCUAAAUGCACUCUCAUAAAAAAUCAGUUGUAAAACAAAAUUCAUGUCAUCUUGAAUUCAUCUUUGAUUUUCCUUUCAUAUUGAGAAUUUCUGGUUUGGUUUCUACUGUGCGUAGCAAAAAAAUAUUCAAUAUCAUCACUCUUUAGAAGUUUGCCUCUAGAAGGGUUUUUUUGGUCAAUAGAUCAUAUUUGACUUCAUUAACUUUAUCGAUUCCCACAACGCUCUCAAUUAUUUGCUCGUUAGUUAUUUUCUGCAAUUUUGAGAGAAUUCAUUCUAUGAUGAUAACUCAGCACUUUGAUUAAAUUUUACAGAAUAUUGAGUGCAUUGACUUCAGUUCAUUCUAAACUUGAAAAUUUUCAGAGUAUUGAGUGCAUUGACUUAAAAUUUCAAGUUUAGCACAACUUUUGAAAUUUGAUUUUGAAAUAGCGAAUCAAAAAGGUAAUUUGAAAACGAUUUUAACAAAAUGUCAUGCUCGAAUGCUAUAUCUUUGAUUUAAUUUCUAUAAUUUUUUGAUUAAAAAAUUCCAUUUACUUUUGGAUGGGCAAUUCCUCUUAAAUUCUCAGUAGAAGUUCAAAAGAAAUGUUAAUAGUCUAAUAGUUGUGAUACACCCUAUGUAACUGACCGUCAUUGCUGCUUCAAAACAACUUGCAAUCAUUGAGUUCUAUAUUGUAAAUUUCGAUGAAAACUGUGAUGGAAGAAACUUUUAGUAUUUAUUUACAAAAAGAACAAAAAAGCUAAUAAUGUGAAGUUGAUAACUCUAUGUAAUGACUUAAGUGAGGUACUGAUUAGUUUGAUGUAAAUCUUGAAAGACAUCAUGCUGGAAUGAGUAUAUAUUUGUAUUUAAGAAGUUUAUUGGUGUCACUAUGUUCUAAAUUUAUCUCUUUUCAAUUUUUAGAUGUUUCAAAAUUAGGUUCUAUGUUCUAAAAUCAAACUUUUUCCCUCAGAAACUCUGCUGCCAUUUAAGAUGUGAACAACUAACUAGUUAUAGUUAUCCCUUUUUAGGACAGUAGUAAUGAAUGUCGCAAAAAUCUCAUUUCCUCAACUCACAUCUGGAUCUCAGAGUUGAGUCGAAUGGGAGCUAUAAUAUUGGGCUGAUAUGCAACGUACGUGUAUGCUUUGGUAGUAUCACCAAUAAGUUUGCUGUUUAGACUUAGUAAUGUGACAAUCUUGAGCCAUGUUUUCGAGGGGUCACUUAUUGAAAUUCUGUAUAAUAUCAUCAAUAGGAUCACUGUUCAUAUUUGACUACAGAGCAGGAAUCUUAGCACAAUAAUUAUGUUAGGACUUUUCACAAGUUUUAAUUUAUAUAAUGUGAUGGUAUCAAAUUCUUAAACAGCACAUUUGUUAUGUCUCCAGAGUUUCACUCUGAUAGAAGUAUUGGAGAGAAGAAACCUAGGACAUCAGGCGAUGAGGGUGUUUCUAUGAAAGAAUUAAGUGGAUAUAAUUCCAAGAGGCAAGAGUUUGAAGUUGAGUAUGACAACGAUGCUGAGCAGUUACUUGCUGACAUGGAAUUCAAGGAGACGGAUACUGAAACUGAGCGUGAACUGAAACUAAGAGUUCUGCAUAUAUACUUGAAAAGGUAAAUUCUACUACCUCCUUCUCAUUUUGGGUUUUGUUCUCUAUAAUGAAGGAUUUGUUGUUGCACAGUUAGUGCGUUAUAAAGGAAAUCUUGAAUUAUCUAAUGUACAACGUUAUGAAAUGUUUAUGAUUUGUUGUUGCACAACAACACCUCUGGCUGCUUUUGUUGAUGCAUAGUUUCACAUUCAGAUGGUGAUGUUGCAUUGUUGCGUAUAGAUAUUUAUUUGUAGUCUUCGGAUACUUAUUGAGAUUUGAUGAUUAUUUAUUGGAGUAGUGAUCCAUGUUAGCUCAAAUGAGAACACAACUUUCAGUAUAAGACGUGCUUUGAUUCUUAAUGUGGUGCAGUCCCUUUGUCAUUGUCCUUUUCUUUUCUUUGUCCUCAUACGAAUCUAAAAAUGUUGCAGGCUUGAUGAAAGAAAACGAAGGAAAGACUUCAUAUUGGAAAGAAAUCUUCUAUAUCCUGACCCUUUCGAGAAGGACCUUACCUCGGAAGAGAAAGAAUUGUGCCGUCGGUACAGGGUAUUCAUGCGAUUUCAUUCUAAAAAGGAACAUGAUGAGUUGCUCAAGAGUGUUGUCGAGGAGCAGCGAAUUUUGAAAAGAAUACAAAACCUUCAGGUAUGAUGUACAGUGUACACUGUUAUGUUGUUCCCUAAUUUUCACCUGUAUCAGCAUCAUGCUUGCCGUAAUAUGAUAUCUGUGGCAAAGAGGUAUUUUUUUAUGAUAACCAACUCAAGAAGGCUUGCUUGUUGAAUUGGAUGCUUAAUUUUCCGAUAAAAUUCUGGUCUGGUGCAGGAAGCUCGAGCUGCUGGUUGUCGUACGUCGUCAGAAGCUGAGAGAUAUAUUGAACAGAAAAUGAAGAGGGAGGUUGAGCUUGAGGAAAGUGCCCGUCGAGUGAAAGAAAGUUCUCAGGCUGGUCCCAGUGGAAAAUACUUGCAAAGAAUGAAUAAUCAUCAUAAUAAUAAUACGAGCCCAAGGGUAGGUAACAAGAGCCCAUCGGUCUUAGAUCCUGGUGGAAUGGACUCUUCAUCAAACACUAAACAAGGAGGACUCGCUGCUUCCGACAUACUCUCCGAUAACUGGGAUGUCACUGGAUUUUUAGGAGCUGAUAUACUCUCCCAAGCUGUAAGAUUUUUCUUAUGCACCUUUACUUUCUCACCACUUCCCGUAACAUUUAGUCAUUCUCGUGAUUUCUAUCCAAGAGUCACUUAUGAAAUUUCCAAACAUACCUUUUUUUUUUUUCUAAAAGAAAGAAUUGAAGCCAAAUAGCUAUCGAACCCCCUGACUUUGGUUUGUGUCCCAAAAUGAACAGAUGCUUCAAAUAUCUCGAUUAAUUUUAUUUGCUUUUGUAUAUAUCUCUUUUGUAUAAGUACAGUUGUGUGUUGAAUUCUGACCGAACAUCUCUUGUGAAUCGGACACAUAACAGGAGAAACAGCUAUGCGGGGAGAUGAGAAUCCUACCAGCACAUUACCUCAAUAUGCUGCAAACAAUGUCAAUGGGAAUUUUAAAUGGAAACGUGACUAAGAAAUCUGAUGCACAUGGCCUAUUUAACGUUGAUCCAGGAAAGGUCGAUAAAGUAUACGAUAUGCUUAUAAGGAAAGGUAUUGCUCAAACAUGACAGCCAUCUAUCUAUUUAUCUUUCGAUUCUCCGGGUAAGAGGCGAGUUCCCCUCAAUGCUGCGUGCACACUGGACCAUAGUGAACUGGUUUUCAUCCUUAUGAUUUGCAUUAAUCGGUCCGAUAUGUAGUUAUAACAGAUAAUUAUUCUCUCUGUAGUAACUUAUUUUUCAAACUAUUGUUUUUCAGUGUUUUGAACUGAUAAUAAUCUGUAGGUAAUAAUUUUGCCAAAUCCCGUAUGAGGAAAUGGAAAUAAUCACGAAUGUGUACGAUUAUGUUUUUGAGUGAUGUAAAAAUUUGAAAGAUGAAGUGGUAGGGGAUAAGUUUAAUGUUAUUGUGUUGGUCUAAACUUUCUUGUGUAUCGCACUAUUUUCGAGAUUCCUUAAAUACUUGAUCUCAGUCAUUCUUUUUUGUGCUUAUCUAGUGACUUGUGUAGUACGGACAUGAAAUCAGUGCGGGAAAAUAGGGAAACGGAUACGUGGAAACGGCAUAUCUAAAAAAUAGGGAUAUAGGAGUUUGGGGGAAACGUGUCAAUAUUAAAAGUAUAGGGAUAAGUCAGUUUUUUAUAUAAUUUCAUGGGAAAAUAUUCAAAAUAAAUUUUAUUAUCAACUUUCAAUUUGUAAUUGAUCGUUAGACUAUGUAAAUAAUUAGUGAAUCAACUAAAUAAAAUUUUAAAAUUUGUUAUCCAAAUAUAUUUUUAACUUUUUAGAAAUUAUAAAAUGGCUCAUAAAGUGUCCGACUAGUAUACUUAAGUAUUAUCCGACACAAAACGUGUCCGAACUGUAGAAAUAUUAAGAGGUUGAAGUAUCCAUGUUAUUGAAGACGGUCAAAUUUUAUUAUAUUAUGUGAAUUUAAUUCGUAGAUAAAUAUUGAAUAUGUAUUAUUAGCUAAUAUGAUUAUUUCUCCUCUUCCAAGUAGGGGUGUAAACGAGCCGAGCCGACUCGUGAGCUCGAAGAGCCGGCUCGUAAAAAGCUCGAACUCGAACUCGAGAUUUUCGAGCUCGAGCUCGAGCUCGCGAGCUCGAGCUUUCUGAUGAGCCGAGCUCGAGCCGGUUUUCAGUUGUUCAUGAGCUCGCGAGCCGGAUUUAUUAUUAUUUUUUUAUUAUUUUUUUUAUUUUUUAUAUGUUAUUUUUAUUUAAAUAAUGUAUAAUAAUGUAAAAUAUUAUAGAAAUAAAUACAAAUAUUAAAAAUAUAUAUAAUUACAAUUUAGUUUUUAUUUUUUAUUUUUUAAAAUAAUUUUUAAUAAUAAAAUAAUAAUUAAAAAAAUAUUUAAAAAAAAAAAAAAAAAAAAAAAAAAGACAAUGGGCUCGAGCUCGAGCUCGACACAACUGACACGAGCUCGAGCUCGAGCCAAAAAAAGAGGAGCUAGCUCGAAAAUCCCGAGCUCGAGUUCGAGCUUUUUUCGAGCCGGCUCGUCGAGUUCGCGAGCCGGCUCGGCUCGUUUACCACCCCUAUAUACUGCUGAUAUGGACGAUUAAUCCACGUGGCCACUCACAUGUAUGUUGCUGAUAUGCUUCGUGAAACUAACUCAUAUUAAUUCAAAUUACCCAUGCAUUGGCACCCAACAAAACUCAUGAUCUCUAAACUUUGCUAGAGAGAACGAGCCACCACCAUGCAAGAGACCCAUGCCCACGUCAUUAGGAGGGAAUUCUCAAAAUUGUCUGUGAACGAUACAAUUGUCAGAUGAUCGAAUAUUUAUUUCGAUUUUGCAUAAAAUUUCCAUAUUUGAACUCAAAACAUACAAUGAAAUAAAGUUUUGCAAUAUGUGCGCGUACACACUUCAUAAUUAUAUUAAUGAAUUUAGAGGACAGGCAACUAUAUCUAUCUCUCUUUUAGUUGUUUCCGGUCCAAUAUUUUUUCUAUUCAAUAUUAUUAAAGACGAUUGGAGAUUGCAUCAAUCAAAAAUAAGUUCAAAUAAUAUAUGGAUUAAUAUCUCCUAGACCGGCCAUGACAAUUUUUUUUUUGUUUAAAUGAUUAGUUAACGUUAGAUGGGUUUUGUUCCAAUAUGGAGAUAAUGACUAAUAAGGGUAGGCAAUCUAAAUUAAAGUUUACAGAAUUGCAAAUCGUGCAAAUUCUCAAUAUGUAACAAAUCAAAGAAUUCUUGUUGAGUAGCUUAACAUAUUAUAAAUUUCAUUCAACAAAUCCAAAUAUAUUAAUUCAAAGUAGAAAUUGCAUUGCAUCAGAUUUGUAUGAUGGAAAAAAAUUGUCUAUUGGGUAUUAUCGAGGCUAUUUACGAGUCCAAAGAGAUGUGAUAUUGAAGAAAUUAGCAAUUUGGAAAAGAAGGCUUAUGUUCUAAAGACGAUGCAAUCUGAAAUCGAAGAGGGGUGGAUUCUUACGUAUCAUGUGUGAAGCACAUGUUAUUUUCCGUCCAAACUAACCAGCCAAAUUGGCGGAGGAACGAAAAUAGCAGAAAAAUGGCAUGUUUAGUGAUGAAUAAUGUCACUCCAACUUGUUUAGGGACUAAAAAUGAAUAAUUGGUAAAGUAUAGGGACGAAAAGUGUAAUUAUCCCAAAAAAGUACUCUUUUGUUUUGCAAUUUUAAUUGCUAAAUUUCAUGAGUUUUUGUUGUAGGCAAUUUGUUUCGGUUAUUGUAGAUUAAUUUGUUUAGAAUAUUAAUGAUUUAGUUCCUACCAUUGUUGCCUUCUCAAAAGUAUUAUUUAAAAAUAGUUUUAUUAUUAAACUAACCAUGUGUGCAACAAAUAUGAGAAUCUAUUAUUAUUAUUAUUAUUAGCAUUUUGCCACAUGUACUUUGCGUGGUUUUCUUUCCACUUUGCCACAUUAACUAAAAAAAUUUGGAUCUGCACAUCCCAAUCCACUUUUUUAACUCACAUAACCACCUAUGGCAAAUAUUCCAACGAAUCUUAUCAUUUACCAGCGCAUGCGCGACGCACAUGCAAAAGUACAAUGGAUUUUUCGUCUUUUCACCUGAAACUAUCAUACAAAGGUGAAAUUGAAAAUACCAAGGACUCAAUUGAACUUAAUUUGAAACUUACGCAAAAAUGUCACCGCCUACUGCUCGCAUUUUCUAUCCUUUUCAUUUGUGUUUUUCCCCUCACCAUUUUUAUUUAUAUACCUUUAUUUGAGUGUAUAUAUAUAUAUAUAUAUAUAUAUAUACACACACGAGGGAAUUGUGCUGGUUUACUCCCAAAGAUAGCAAAAGUACAGAGAAAAUGCUCAAAAUUGUUAGUAUAAUUUGUUUAGAAUAUUAACAUUUAAAGGAAUCGGAAAGGGUAGUGUCUGGUAAGAAGAGUAUCUGUAAACCCUAGAUUCAAUAUUCAAGAAAGAAGACCAAAUCAUAUGAUAUUAUUUUUUAUUUUUUUGGAAUAUAUAUGAAUAAGAAAGGAUCAGGUCAUAAACAUGAAAGAAUUUACAACCGCAUCAUCAGGAUACUCCCAUGGAAGAAGAAGACACAAACCUUUAUUUAAUUAAUUUCGAAUUUGCGUAAGUUUUAAAUUAAGUUCAAUUGAGUCUUGGUAAUUUAAAUUUCACCCCAUAUGAUAUUUUUAGGGGGAAAGACAAAAACACCCUUGUACUUUCGCAUGUGAAUCGCGCGUUCGCCGGCAAAUGAAAAGAUUCGUCGGAAUAUUCGACAUAGGUGGUUAUGUGCGUAAAGUGCAUUCCCUCGAUUCUCUUCACACAAACGCAAAAAUUCAAAGUCCUUUCAAGCCAACAAAAACGUAGACAAGAGUAUGCAGCAAAAACAAACACACAACACGUUUACAGGCAAUGCCCAACCUUUAUAUUGAUUUCCCAACAAAGAAUUCAAAGGAGACUAAGAUGCACAUACAAAAUCCUCACUUAGAAUGCCCGCAACUACAAUCUAAACUCUCUAAUACAAGAUGGACCGGAAUUGUGUAUUCAAAUUCAAAUAAAUACAAGGAAGAUGACAGUUUACACCCCUAACUGCAUAGGACACUUGGCGCCACGAAUGUCUUACAUGUCGCUCACUUUUACAGGUUACAAGGGCCAGUUUUGCAUGCUUUCCAGCCUCAACUGCUUCGCAAUUGUCCUUCAAAAUCUUGCAAGGAAUCAGUUGUUGCGCCCUGGCUUGCUCGGGCGCACGCGCGCCAAACGGCCGAGACCGCCCUACCGGUUCCUAGGCAGCCCGCCUAUCUUGCCUUGUCCGCACACGCUGCCUUACUUUGCCUGCAUCGGUCUGCCUAGGCUGCCCUUGCCCACAAUCUUGUGUCGGGCUACCAAGACUCAUUCUAGACAUCCCUAACUCUUGCCCAUCCCGUGCUCGUGUUGGUUGUUAAGUCACGCUCGUGCCCAACCGCAAGAACCUUUCCUUGAAUCUUUGGACAAGCACCCCCAAUGCAUGCGCAAUACUCGACCACCCAUUGGCCGAUGUGUGGCUGUCUUGUGCAAAUGCUCACUUGGCAUGCAUCAUUUCCCGGCCAUGACUCAGCCACACCCAAGUACCCCAAUGCAUGCGCAAUACUCGACCACCCAUUGGCCGAUGUGUAGCUGUCUUGUGCAAAUGCUCACUUGGCAUGCAUCAUUUCCCGGCCAUGACUCAGCCACACCCAAGUCAUAGCCGAUGUCACCGGUUAAGGGGCUAACUCCAGUCAUCAACCAAUUUUUCUCUAUUUCGCUCUAAAUUUUAAAUUUAAUACAAGCUUUUAAAAUGUUUAUAUUGCAACAUAUCAUGUUCUAAAAUUUUUACAAUGGCCUGAAAUUUGGUGUCACAAAUCUCAUUAUGCGGAAAACGAAAGUAAGUGCAAAUUUUAACUUGAUCGUAAAACUUUCUCCGAACUUUAAUAGAGCAAAACAUCCUCGUGAAUUUAUAUUAGUUUCUCGGAAUAUACUUAUUUUUUUUUAUUUUAGAUAUUACCAACUUUUUAAUUUUUAAUAUAAUUCUAGGAUAAUAUAGAAAGACAACAUAUAUACAAUAAAGAUCAACUAAAUAAUUGACUAAACACGUGCAACGCACGUGCAUCUUGCUAGUUAAUUUAAAGAGAGUCCAUCAAAUCAUGUCAUUAUUAACAUUAAAUCAAGAUUGAAGAGAGAUUGAAUGGUCAAAUCCAUCAAAUAAUUCAUGAUUUUCAAGUCAAAGUUCAACGUUGGAUUCGAAAUUCAAAUCAUCAUACCCUCAAAAAACGUUAUUCAAAUUCAAAAUUAAAUCAGGAGAAAAUCAAAUCAACAACUUGUCUUCAAAAUUCAAAGUGAAAUUUAUAUUGUUCAUGUGAGAAAAAGCAAAUAAUUAAAUUAGAGUUUGCAACUCAUAUUAUUUAUUUUAAUUCAAUAAAUUAUCUUUGUGCGAAUUUUUCUCGUUUGUUAAAUCUGCAUAUAAGAAUUUGUUGCUACAUGUAAUAGGUGGUGAAUAUAAAAGGGGCACUAACUUAAAACAAAUUAAUACUUGCGCAUAAAUGACAUCUAAAUUUUUAUAAUUUAUGAGUAUCUUUGUAUUUUGAGCAAUAUUAAAUAUCGGUAAAUAUAUGAUGAAAUUGUCGUAGAUAAGUUGGCUCUAGGUGAAGUGAGGGAGCCUCUUCUUAUUGCAGUUUUGCCCAGGGGUGUGAUCUAAACAUGUCAUGUUCGAACCGAGCUUGACAUAUCUUUUGAGUUCAAGCUCGAGUUGAAUCUGACAACCUCGAACUUGAGCUCAUUGUGCUUUUAUUUUCUCUGCUCGAGCAGAAUUUGUCGAGCUCGAGCCAUUUUUUUUCUUUUUCUUUAAUAAUAAUAAUAAUAAUAAUAAUAAUAAUAAUAAUAAUAAUAAUAAUAAUAAUAAUAAUAAUAAUAAUAAUAAUAAUUAUUAUUAUUAUUAUUAUUAUUAUUAUUAUUAUUAUUAUUAUUAUUAUUAUUAUUAUUAUUAUUAUUAUUAUUAUUAUUAUUAUUAUUAUUAUUAUUAUUAUUAUUAUUAUUAUUAUUUUUUAAUUAUAUUAUAAAAUUCUAUACAAUAACAAAUGAAUUGAAAUUUGUUUAUAUAAGAAUUUAUAUGUAUUUAUUAUACAUCAUGAAUAACUAAAACCGAGACUAACCACUAUUGUUCAUCACUAAAUGUACUCUUUCCUAGAUCAAUCUUAUUUUUUUUUUAAUUUCUUUUUCUUAUUAUGCUUAGAUCGCUAAGAAAAACACAAUAAAUCAAUGUUAUCGUACUACAUUUGCCGUUGUACACGAUGUUCUAAUCUAUAUUCUGAUCAAUGUACCAUCAAGAUCGUCGGUAACCGAUCUAUCCAAUCGAUAAAAACCAGACGAUCAUCGAAGUUGUCAGAAAUUCUACAUAUCUUCAAGCGCCAUGACUCCCAGACACUACGCAUCUUAUCCGAGGAGACGCCAUCUUUUAACGACCUCAAAUUGGUCUAUUACUCACCUUGAGUUUGAGGAAGAGUUGUUAAUAUAUGACGAGGAGUCUAUUAUUAUAGUGUUAUAUUUAGAUUAAUAGUUCUAGUUAGAUUGUAACUAAAUCUACAUUCCUUAUUAUAAAUAGAUACAUCAAUAAGAUCAUUAACGCAUAAUUCAAUUUACCAUCAUACUUUUGAUAUUCUAAUAUAGGGAAAGAUAAAAGAUAAUUUAUUAGCCUUUUUUUUUUAUUUGGAUUUUGUUUUCACAUUUUGGAUUGGGUCGUGGCAUUUAUAUUUAACAUUUUGUUUGGCUUUUUAUUUACAAUUUCCGAAGUUCCUACAAGUCAAGACUCAAAGUUAAAAGUUAUAAAUAUUUUAUUGAAAAAAAAAAAAUACAUUCAAUUUGGUAUUCAUUAAAUAUAUAUAUCUUUUGUUUUAUUUUUGUUAAGGGAAGUUUAGUCAUUUCUUUAAGUCAACAUGUUCAUCUCGAUUAAGGGAGCAAUAAAUGCAACAUAGGAAAUAAGUGGUCAUUUUUUUAGGGGCUUUAAGAUAUAGGUCCCUUGUGAGAAACUUUAUUAGAACUAAAUGACAAGUCAAACUAAACAUUUGCUUCACAUCCUUUAUAAAUUUCAUUCCAAAAAUACCCCUCAUACACAAAAAAUAAAAUUUGCACAAAGUAAUAUUUAAACUGUUUUUAUUAUUUUCAUUCUGCAUUUAAUAUUUUAAAUUUUACAUCUAGCAUUUUUGUUAUUAUUUUUUUUCGUCGAACAUUUUUUUUUUCUGCAUUUUCGUAUUUUUUCAUAAUUAUAAUAAUCUAUUUUUUCCUUUUUUUUUUCUUCUACAUAAUAUUGAAUAUUAUGAAUUUUUAAAAAAUUUCAGCCAUAGUCAUCUGCAGAAAAUUGUAGGAAAGUUGUAGUAGACCGUAGUCACGUAUAGACACCCGUAGAAAACUGUAGUAAUCCGUAGUCACAAUAUUCUUAAAACCCUAACUCCUCCUUUGAAUCUUAGCCGCUAGACACCAUAGACACCCAUAGACACCUGUAGACAUGAACUCGAACUCCGUAGUCACAAUAUUCUUAAAACCUUAACUCCUCAUCUGAAUCCUAGCCGCUAGACACCAUAGACACCCAUAGACAACUGUAGACAUGAAAUCGAACGCCAACGUGAAGCCGCUAAAGCCAACGUGAAGCCGCUAAAGAUAUCACAAACCCCACCCACAUUGCCGUCGCCAUCCCCCACCCCCUUUAUCGCUGCGUCACCAACACAAGGGCUGCAAACCAGCGAACGCUAUCCUCAUGCCCAACACCGCGUAACCAUGUUCAAUUAUUAAUUUUCAAGUUAGUAGCUAAUUAUUGCAAUAUUGUGUUCCAGAUAACUUAAAAUUCAAAUUGAAAUGAAUGAUUAGAAAAUAAUAAAUUAUGAAUAUAACUCUCAGUUCAUCACAAAUUUAAAAAUAAACAACUAAAAAAAAAAAAAAGCUCAACACUGCAUAAUUGAGACACUAGUCAAAAUGGAAGUGUUCUAUAAUCAUCAUCUUUUUCCAACUUCAUAUGUUUAUAUCUACAUAUAUAUGUAUAUAUACUAUGGCAGUUCAGAAUCGGAGGCGUGUCCGGAACUUCUCCGUGUUCGUGGACUCAUCGUCAUCAUCGUAGCUGGCUCUCCGAAUUCAUCCUCAUCGCUCUUCCCGUCGGAGUAUGCGACUCAAUCUCCCCUUCGGCGUAUCUACCGUCAAACAUUUUUAUCAUUUUAUUUUAUUAAUCUAUCUCUAUUUUCUCCCUCUCUAUUCUCUCACACACAGACACACACGAGAAAAAUAAUUACCUGGUUCUUUGGGGGUUUUGACUUCCAUCGAUUUCUUCGACAUAGAGAUUUUACUGAUCAUAAUUUCCGGGCAGCGACGAUUUCCUCCCCGACGAGGAAGUGAACAGAUCCUCCACCGGAACGACGCUCUCGUCGCAAGUCGAAGCCCCAUCGCUUCCCGAUUCAGAGUUCUCCCUCUGGCUCACGUUAGCCCUCUCCCUCUCAGUAACCCUAUACGCAGACAUCUUAAAUGGAAUCUGCCAAAUCGACAUCAAAUUCGAGUUCCCAAUCAACGGAAACCCCCUCACAAUCCCCAAUUCAAUCUCCCCAAAAUCAAUCGGCGGCAUCGGCGUGUCGAUCUGGCUGUGCUCACGGUUCAUCGCCAAAAACCUCUUCGCGUAGUGAAGAUUCCGGCAAAUCGAAGAAAAACCCAUCGCCUCUGCUCCUUCUCCCACGACGCUCUUCGCCGCCCCUGCUCCUUCUCCCUCCGUCGCCGGCGGCGGCGGCCUUCAUGGUGCUACUGGAGAAAAAGAAGAGAGAGAGGAGAGAAAAAAGGAGAUGGGAGCAAACGUGAGUUUGAGAGAGAACGGCGAGAGAGAACGUGACGCAACAGUUAUACGUUUAGGGUAUAAGGGUAAGAUAGGAAUAAAAAAAAAUUAGGGAUAUCGUUCAUAUAUUAUUUACAUCUAAGGAUUUAAAUAAAAGAUUGGAUUUGAACUUGUCAUUUAGUUCAAAUUAGGUUUCGUUUGAGGGACUUAUGGCAUAUUACCUUUUAACACAAGCACGUAUUCAACAAUUAGACAUUACAAAUGAUAUUCUGUGCAAUUAACUCAAAAUAUGAAGAUGUCUAUGAGUUUAAAGAAUUUUAUAUUUUGAAAUAUGAUCAAAAGUUAAUAACUUCUUUUUCUUUAUUUAAAAACCCCGCAACCAACCGUAUAAGUGAGAUUGAUAAUGAUAUUCAAACUUCAGUCUAUGUGACACAAAUUCACGGUUAGGCCAAAGUUAAUAAAUAUUGAAAUUAGUAGGCGAAUGUAGGGGUGGUAAACGAGCCGAGCCGGCUCGCGAACUCGACGAGCCGGCUCGAAAAAAGCUCGAACUCGAGCUCGGGAUUUUCGAGCUCGAGCUCGAGCUCACGAGCUCGAGCUUCGGACGAGCUCGAGCUCGAGCCCAAAAGUAGUUGUUAUAUAUAUAUAUAUAUAUAUAUAUAUAUAUAUAUAUAUAUAUAUAUAUAUAUAUAUAUAUAUAUAUAUAUAUAUAUAUAUAUAUAUAUAUAUAUAUAUAUAUAUAUAUAUAUAUAUAUAUAUAUAUAUAUAUAUAUUAUUCUUAUUCUUAUUAUUAUUAUUAUUAUUAACUAAAUAGUAAAUAGUCUAUAAUAAUAAAUAUAUCUAGUAUUUAAAUAAAAACAAAUCUAUAUUACUUAAAUAAUUCAUAAUUAUAUAAAAUAUUAUAAUAAUAAUAAUAAUAAUAAUAAUAAUAAUAAUAAUAAUAAUAGAAAAAAAAUAUAUAUAUAACUAGAGUUCAUUAUUUAUUUUAUAAUUUUUUUUAUUUUCCUAUGAAUAAUUUCUAAUAAAAAAAAAUUAAUAAAAAAAUUAAAUAAUAAUAAAAAAAAAAAAAAAAAAAAAUUAAUAAGCCUGAGCUCGAGCCAAAAAAAAUUGGCUCGACGAGCUCGAGCUCGAGCUCGACGAGCUCGACGAGCUCGAGCUCGAGCUCGGAACAUGGACUCGAGCUCGAGCUCGAGCUGGCCAAAAGAGCCGAGCUCGAUCCGAGCUCGUUCCCACCCCUAGGCGAAUGUUUAAAAGAAAAAAAUCACAAUUAUGUGACAGUAAAUUUUAGUCUAGACUUAUCCGGACGUUCUUAUCCCUUGAUCACAUCACAUCACAUCACAUGUACCAAAAGUUGGUAAAGUAAAAGAUAUUUUUUCACCAUGAGUGAGAAAGUAGAAAGUAGAAAGUAGAAAGUUGAAAGUAGAAAGAAAACAAGUCAAAUAAAGUCAGCCUUCCUUCAUUUUCAAAGACCUUAUUUUCUUCUACCCAAAGACGAUUCAGUUUCCUCCAUCUUUUUUUACUGCAAAACCCUUCAAUAUUUUUUCUAGUGGCGGCCGUGUGUGUGUGUGUGUGUGUGUGUUCACAAGUAUUUGUGCUGUACGGAAGUUUUUUGGUAACAUUCAUUUUGUUUUUCUUCUAUUUUCCUUGAUUAAUCUCAUAGAAAAACCAUUUUUCAUGUGUUUUUUACUUCCCCAUAUUGGUUGAAAGACUUGAUUUUUCAUGCAUGCAACAUUUUUAUGGCCAUAUUUUAUCUCUGAGAUAGCCUCUAUUUUUGCAGGGUUUCUGUUCAAAAUUGCCAGGAGGGUUUGAAGAAAUUCGCUGACACUGGCAGCCAAGCCAGCAUAUAAAUAUAUCUAUAUAUAUGUAGAGAGAGAAGUUUGAAGUGAAAAAUGGAGGGGAAUCGUACUUCCUCUGGUUCCGGCACCAUGAAACAAACAUGGCCGAAAGACGAGUUCACCGAUUUGGUGCUUUCAUGGUCUCUUCAUGAUAUCUACGAUCAGGAUCUGUACCAACACCAGGUCUUUUUUCCAAUUAUACAUUAUUAUAUAUUUAUAUGUAUAUAUUAUAUAUAUGGUUCAUUGUGUGUGGCUGUGUAUAUAUAUACAUAUAUAGUAGUUGGCUGUUUGUAGUAAUCAGAGAUCGAACCGCGCCCAUAUAUGAGGAAACUCCCUUUUCGUGUAGAUAGGUCAAAUGAAAUUGGGGUUUUUGCAUGAUCAUUCGUCUUUUGCUUCUUUUGGUUUAUAGUUUAUCAUUUUCAUUUACUCUUUUCGGUAGUUCUUAUGGUCGAAAGUUGGAAACUAUUGUUUUUUGUUUCGAUAAGGUAUGUCAUUAUAAUUUUUCAAUAAGUCUUGAAGAUACUUUAUGGAUAUAAUCUUCAUUAGUAGUAAUAAUCAAUUUUUUUUUCCAUCUGUACUAAUUUCCUUUUACAUGCAGGUGGAGAAGAUUCCGGAGUCAUUUGAAUCUGUUGAUAGCUAUCUCGGUUCUUACAUCUUCCCUUUACUAGAAGAAACGCGCGCGGAACUUGCUUCGGCCACGGAAACUGUAUAUAAUGCACCUUUUGCUGAAGUGACAUCGUUUAGUGAGCAAAGACAUGGGAAAUUCCUAUAUAGCGUUAAGGUUGAUGAUUGGAGAAACAGAUUAAGUGAUGGUGGCAGAGAGCCUUACAAAACUUUGCCCGGUGAUUUAGUUUUGAUUUCAGAUGUCGAACCGAAAACCAUUUCUGACUUACUGCGUGUUGGCUUUACGUAUACGUUGGCUUCUGUAAUAAAUAUUGAGGAUGAUGGGAGUGACAAUAAUUGUACAUCCUCCAGUUUUGCUCUGAAAUCGUCUCGGGAGAUUGACUUCGGGGAUGGACAAGGAGAGUCACUCUAUGUGGUUUACUUGGUCAACAUUACACCACUUAAAAGAAUAUGGAAUGCGUUGCGCAUGCGUCGAAAUCUGACAAUCGUUGAUAAAUUAUUAGCCAAGAAUGACUUGGUAAGGAGAUGAUUAUAUUUUUUUCUUUCAUAAUUUUUUUGAUUGGAAAUUUUGCACUCGUCCGAUUACUUUCUAACUAGUGUAUGUAUGCUCCACCAGAGUGAGGAGAUGUGUGAUGUAUGUUGCCAUAAAGACAAUGCUGAGAUGGAAGAGAAACUUGGUUCGACUUUAUUCUCCAAGUUAAAUGAAUCACAACUCGAUGCAAUAUUGUCUUGUCUAUCGAAAUCCGAGUGCGACCACAAGCCAUCUGUGGAACUCAUAUGGGGUCCACCUGGGACUGGAAAGACAGCAACCUUGAGCAGAUUACUGUUUAGUCUCUUAAAAAAGAAAGUGAGGACCCUCAUUUGUGCCCCAACGAACGUUGCAAUUAAAGAACUGGCCUCUCGGGUGAUAGCACUUGUAAGAAAUAAAUCUGAGGAGAACAAUUUGUCUUGUCCUUUAGGAGACAUGCUCAUCUUUGGCAAUAAGGAUCGUUUGAAAGUUAGCUCAGACAUUGAAGAAAUUUUUUUAGAAUAUCGUGUUGAUAGGCUUGUAAGUUGCCUCGGGUCACUAACUGGUUGGAAGCAUUGUAUCUCGUCCAUGCUCGAUUUUCUCCAAGACUGUGUUUCUUAUCAUCAAAUCUUUGUGGAGAAUGAGCUCAUCGCAGCAAAACAAAGUCCCGAGCACGUCGAAUCAAAAUCACUUUUGGAGUUUGUCCGAGAUCGAUUUCCACGUUUAGCAACACCUCUGAGAGAUUGCAUGACUACAUUCUUCACUCAUUUACCGAGGAAUCCCGCUCACGAGCAGCAGAUAUUUCGAAACAUAAAGCAACUAAUGUCCCUUCUCGAUUCGGUUGAGAUGUUGUUGUUUGAAGACAAUAGCUUGACAUCUAAAACACUUGAGAGAAUCUUCUUACGGGAGGGAACGGUUGAUUCUGCAUCGUCCUUAAUGUAUAUGAGAAGCCAAUGUCUGAAUAUUCUCAGAUCUCUUCGGGGUUCUCUAGAUAAACUUGGCCUGCCAAAUGGCAUUCAUAUAACUUCCACCCAAGACUUGUGUUACAAAAAUGCUACUUUAAUUUUUUGCACAACUUCGACGGCAUAUAAGCUGCACACAGUUGAAAUGGAACCAUUUAACAUGUUGGUCAUCGAUGAAGCUGCCCAAGUAAAGGAGUGUGAAUCGAUCAUUGCGCUUCAGAUCCCCGGUGUCAGGCAUGCAAUUCUUGUUGGCGAUGAAUGCCAGUUACCAGCGACAGUUAAAAGCAAGGUAAAUGUUUAAUUAACUUAUUUCAUUAUAUUAUACGGGCAGAAGGUCAUAAAUAAUGCUUAAUAUUGUGUUUAAACACAGGUAUCUGAAGAAGCUGGUUACGGGAGAAGUCUAUUCGAGAGAUUGAGCUCAUUGGGUCACUCAAAGCAUCUGCUUAAUGUGCAAUACAGGAUGCAUCCAUCCAUAAGCCGCUUUCCGAAUUCAAAUUUCUAUGACAACCAGAUAUUAGAUGCGCCUAGUGUGCGGAGCCGAAGCUAUGAAAGAUGCUAUCUCGAAGGGAGGAUUUUUGGUCCUUAUUCAUUUAUCGAUAUUCCUGGUGAUAAUGAAGAAUUGGAUGAUUUUGGGUAUAGUAGGAAAAACAUGGUUGAGGUGGCAGUAACUGUGAUGCUAGUGCAGAAACUCUUCAAGGGUAUGUCCGUACCUGCAUCAAUUUCUUGUCGCUUUACGUGCCAUAAAUCAGAUUCUCUAUUUCACAUUUUUAGUGCCACGUUUAUAUUUGAUGAAUGAUUUAUUAUGAAGUCCUCGAGUAUAUCGUUUAAAAUCACAUUAUAAGAAGCUAUACACCUGGACUUUGAGUUUCUUUCUAAAUAGGUUCAUCCAGAAGGACUUUAAAAGACAUUAUAUAUGCAUUGAAAAACACAGUUAAUAUUUGUCUAUGAAGUCUUGAUUAGUCUCAAUAUUUUAUCUCCACUUAUGAUUUUUUUUUUUUAACGUAAAAUGUUUACUUACUCUUCUACGAGCAUACUUACCAUGGUCACUUAUAUUAUGUUGUCGCUUAUUAAUAGCAUGGAAUGGCUCAAACGAGAAACUGAGCAUUGGCUUGAUAUCCCCUUAUGCUGCACAAGUUGCAGCAAUUCGAGACAAGCUUCAACGGAAGUAUGAGAAGUUUGACAAGUUUAUAGUUAAUGUGAAGUCAAUUGAUGGAUUUCAAGGCGGUGAGGAAGAUAUCAUAAUAAUAUCAACUGUGAGGUCUCAUAAAGGUGGAUCUAUUGGUUUCUUGUCCAGCCCGCAAAGAACUAACGUAGCUUUGACCAGAGCUCGGUAUGCCAUCAAAUGAAUAUUGUAUCACUUAGAUUUCAUUUGAUUUUUUGUUCGAUAAUGAUUAUUGUUUUUUUCUCCCCCUCUUUUCUAGUCACUGUCUUUGGAUACUAGGGAAUGAAAAAACUCUGAGUAAAAGUGAUUCAGUCUGGGAAGCAUUAAUAUCCGAUGCUAAGCACCGCGAUCGUUUUUUCACUGCUAAUGAAGAUUGCGACAUUCGAAAAGCUGUUAUAGACAUUACGAAAGAGUUGGAUCAACUUGAAGAUUUGCUCACUGGCAAGAGUAUACUCUUCAAAAAUUCGAGAUGGAAGGUACUAGUUUGUUUAUGUUGUACUCGAAUUUUAUCUGUCGAUUCUUUUAGCCUAAACAAAUGUUUCUACAACUUAUUGGUGUGUAUCAAACAAAACUAGUUGCCUUUAUGUUUAAAGUAUUGUGUUAAUCAAAGAUAUGUUAUAGCACCACUCGUUUGCUCUAUCUAGUUUGAUUAUCAGUUACAUACAUUCAUAUUACUUAUAUUUGUAUUAUGUACAAAACAAGGUCAAACUUAAUUCUUUAUGUAGUAUUUGCUUAAGUAUCCAUACAUGAAAAUGUGUCGUGCCUUUUUCAAUUUUGCGUUUUAAGUUGUGGUUUUUGUUACAGACUACUAUAUUUGUGUUUUUCGCAAAUGAGUAUCUUUUUUCUCAGAGUUUAAAUGGCACAUUUUCAGGUUGUAUUCAGCGAUAUCUUCCGAAAAUCAUUUCAGAAAUUGAAACCUUCCAAUGUUAAGAAGCUGGCCAUAACUGUUCUACUUAAGCUUGCAAGUGGUUGGCGGCCCAAGAAUAUAAAUGUGAACUGUAAAUGCGAGAGCUCUUCAUAUAUUGUGAAGCAAAUCAAGGUUGCAAAAUACUAUGUUAUUUGCUCCAUUGACUUAAUUAAGGACCCCGUUUAUGUACAAAUUUUGAAAGUGUGGGACAUAUUGCCCAUGACGGAGACUACAAAACUGUUGAAACGGCUUGACAGCAUCUUUGCUAUGUAUACAGAUGAUUUUAUCAACUGCUGCAAUGAGAAGUUGUACGAGGGGUACGUCAUUUUGGUUAUAUUUUGUUGUAUGAUGUAUCCAAUAUGUAUGUCUUUUAUUGUUCUUUAUCCAGUUGGGAAAAAUUCAAUAUCAUUAAACAAAAUUUACAAGUUUUUUCUAAUAUGACUUCAAAUCUUGAUUGGCCGACAUCUAUUUGCUCAUGUCUUUUAGUUUUCUACUUGUACAGUGUUGUAGUAGAUGUCAAUUCUUUUAAUUUGAUUUUGUUUCAGACAUUUGGAGAUGCCAAAGAGUUGGCCGGUUUGUACUGAUAUUAUCCGGUUCAAGAAUCUCAAUGACACCAAAGUCAACACUAAUAGUGGAAGUGAUGGUGUUGACUGCAGAAGUCAUGUUGAAAAUGCCAAAGUCAGCGAAAGCUUACUGUUGAUGAAAUUUUAUUCGUUGUCGAGUGAUGCUGUGAGUCAUUUGUUGCUUAGUGAUGAUGUGGAGGCUCGAGAAGUGGAUCUUCCAUUUGAGGUCACCGACGAAGAGCGUGAGAUAAUAAUGUUUCCAAGGAGCAGCUUUAUAUUAGGUAGAUCUGGUACUGGCAAGACUACUAUUUUGACUAUCAAGUUGUACCAGAAACUUCAGCAAUACAGCAUGGCUACACGCGAUUCUAUGGCAGAUCACAAUAGUGUGCAGACCUUGCACCAGCUUUUUGUUACUGUUAGUCCAAAACUAUGUUAUGCUGUUAAAAAGCAUGUUUCUCAUCUGAAGAGGUGCGGUUUUUUUUUUUGAAUUAUUUUAACUUUUAUUGCCUUGGUUGGCAUAAGUUAAUGUUUUAAGAUGGUUCAUAUUCCAGAAAUGCACGACUGACGUUUACUUUACUAUAUGUACAGCUUUGCUAGUGAGAAUGCCUCCGUAAAUAAUAACUUAACGGAUAUGGAUGAUUUAGAUGAAAUGGCUGAAUUCCGAGAUAUCCCUGACACGUUUGUUGGCAUUGAACCAGAAAAGUAUCCUCUAAUUAUCACAUUUCAUAAGUUUCUAAUGAUGCUUGACGGUACGUUGGGUAAUUCUUAUUUUGAGAGGUUCCGUGAUGUAAGAGGUUCCUCAGAAUGCCAAGGUAGAAGAUCUAUUGCACUGCAGAGUUUCAUAAGGAGAAACGAGGUUACAUAUGACCGUUUUCGGUCCUUAUACUGGCCCCGCUUGAACGCGAAGCUCACAAAAAAUAUUGAUCCCUCGAGAGUGUUCACUGAAAUAAUGUCUCAUAUAAAAGGAGGUCUAAAAGAAGGGGAAUCAGGCGAAACCAAGCGAAGCAGAGAUGGCUAUGUUUCAUUAUCCGAAAGUAGGGUUUCCACUCUAAGUGCAGAGAAGAGGGAUGUAAUUUAUGAUAUUUUUGAAGACUAUGAGAAAAUGAAAUUGGAGCGUGGUGAGUUUGAUCUUGCUGAUUUUGUGAUUGACAUUCAUCUACGGCUCAAGAACGAGGAUGAUUUAAUUGGUGAUAAAAUGGACUUGGUGUACAUUGAUGAAGUGCAAGACCUUACCAUGAGGCAAAUUUCCCUUUUCCGUUUUAUUUGCAAAAAUGUCGAUGAAGGAUUUGUAUUUUGUGGUGAUACAGCUCAGACAAUUGCAAGAGGGAUUGACUUCCGGUUUGAAGAUAUUAGAUCGUUGUUCUAUAAUGAGUUCUUUAUGAAAUCUAGAAAUUGCGGGAGAAGAGAGAAAGGACUUGUAUCGGAUACUUUUUGUUUGUCACAGAACUUCCGUACGCAUACUGGGGUACUUAGGUUGGCACAGAGUGUCAUAGAUCUUAUUUGCCAUUUUUUUCCUCAGUCGAUUGAUGUAUUGCCUCCGGAGACUAGCCUUAUUUAUGGUGAGUCUCCUGUGGUACUCGAACCUGGUAGUGACGAGAACUUGAUUAUGAGUAUUUUUGGACAUAGUGGACAUGAUGCUGGAAAAUGGGUAGGGUUUGGUGCUGACCAAGUAAUUUUAGUACGUGACGAAUCUGCGAGAAGGGAAAUUUUCAACUAUAUUGGCAAACAAGCUCUUGUUCUCACUAUAGUCGAGUGCAAGGGGCUCGAGUUUCAGGUUAGAAAUAAUGCUUCUUGCAAUUUAUAAAGUUAAUAUAUAUAUAUAUAUUUUUAAAUUAAUCUAUGAAUGUUUAUUUGCUGUGAUCUCUGAAUGAUCUUCUUGUACUGCUUGCUUCUCUUGUAGGAUGUUCUGUUGUACAAUUUUUUUGGUUCUUCACCUAUGAGUGAUCAAUGGAGGGUUUUGUAUGAAUUCUUGAAAGAAAAGGAUUUACUUGAUGCCAGUACUCCAAAGUCGUUUCCAAGUUUUAGCGAGUCAAGACACAACAUUCUGUGCUCUGAACUUAAGCAACUAUACGUGGCCAUCACUCGAACGAGGCAAAGAUUGUGGAUAUGUGAAAACAAUGAACAGCUGUCGAAGCCCAUACUCGAUUAUUGGAGAAGGUUGUGCCUUGUUCAAGUUCGCAAAAUAGACGAUUCUCUUGCAUUAGCAAUGCAAAGAGCUAGCAGCCCGGAGGAGUGGAAAUCACAGGGAAUCAAGGUUUUUUUCAAUUUUCUUUGCUCGCUUCUCUUUAUAUUAUGUUUUUUGCAUUAUUAUUUAUUCUGAUAAUUGUAUUAUUCAUUUAUUUAUUGUUUUGCAGCUCUUUUGGGAAAAGAAUUAUGAGAUGGCAACAGUGUGCUUCGAAAAAGCUGGAGAAGAAAAAUGGGAGAAAAGGGCCAAGGCUUCUGGUCUUAGAGCUUCGGCUGACUCUCUCCGUGGUUCAAACCCUAAAGAGGCUCGUGUUAUGCUUAGAGAGGCUGCUGAAAUAUUUGAUUCUAUUGACAGAGCUGAUUCUGCUGCAGAUUGUUUUUGCGACUUGGAGGAAUACGAAAGAGCAGGUACACUCAUUUGUAGAUUACCAAAUGUACCUUUGAAAAAUUGAAUAACACCUAAUUUUAAAGAGAAGAAUCACGCAUUAAGGAAGUUUUUCGUGGUUUAAUUUGUUAAGCACUUUUUGGGAUGAGUUAUAGAGCAAAUGAGACAGUUUUAUAGAUGAGUAGAGAUUGAAAUAAAAUUCUAUGAAAAUUUGAGCUCGAUUCAUGUUAGACAUGACUUGAUUGGUUAGAUAAUUCAAAUAAACCUGGACAUUAUUUCUAAUUUGAUAACGAAUCCGAUUAAACAAUAACUUAUAUGAAUGAAUUUUAGUGACACAUGUUUAUUAUUUACGUGAAUCCUCGUGACUUCAUAAUAGUGGGUUGAUUUUUGAAUUAAUUUCGUGGUGCAGGAAAGAUUUAUUUGGACAAAUGUGGUACGUCGGAGUUGAGAAAAGCUGGGGAAUGUUUCUCUUUAGCUGGAAGUUACAAAAUUGCCGCUGAAGUUUAUAACAAGGGGAAAUUUUUCGACGAGUGCUUAUCAGCUUGCACCAAAGGCAAUCAUUUUGACCUUGGUUUGCAGUACAUCGAGCAAUGGAAAUCAUUUGAUACUGGAAUUAUGACAAGAUUUAAAGGGAUUGACAAAAUUGCACAAGAGUUUCUCGAAAAAUGUGCUUUGGAAUGUAAUAGGAAAAAUGACAGUGCAUCGAUGAUGAAGUUUGUCCGUGCUUUCUGUACGGACGAGUCCAAAAGAAACUUGCUAAAGUCCUUGGAUUGCCUUGAGGAUCUUUUAAAAUUGGAGGAAGAGUGUGGAAAUUUCAAAGAGGCUGUAGAGAUUGCACAGCAAUUAGGAGGACAUAUUUUACGAGAGGUUGAUUUGCUGGAAAAGACUAAGGACUUUCGAAAUGCUUCGUUGCUCGUAAUAUCUUAUGUAUUUAAUAACUCUCUGUGGGUAUAUGGAAGCCAAGGUUGGCCGCUAAAAUCGUUUCCUCAGGAUCGAGAGCUAUUAGCUAAAGCGACAUCAGCUGCAAACAAUGUUUCCGAAAAUUUUCAUGCAUCAAUUUGUGCCGAGGCCGAAUUUUUGUGCCGUGAUAGAAUGAGUUUAUCUGAGUUGAUGCAGUGUUAUAGUGCUUCAAAGCAAUAUAAAACUCGUAUGGUCGAAAUUCUAUCCGUCAGAAAAUUCCUUGAUGCCCAUUUUCAAGUCCAUCCAGCAAAAUAUGAAUUGGAUCUUCUUCCUCAAUUGUUGAUUGAUCAAAGAUUAUUUGAAGAAAGAAUGUUGAAGAACCAAGUCUCUGGUGGAACCCUUGUUUUCGUUUGGAGCCUAUUGAAGGUACAAAGUGUGGAGAUCUUCGACUGUCUCGACUCUCUUGAAAGGGCAGACCUCGUCAAAUGUGAAGACACUGCUCGAUUCUGUUUUAACUACUUUGGAGUGAGGUCGGCACAUAACUCAAGUGACACCUAUUAUAUAUUGUUGAACCCUAAUUCUGCAUGGAUUAAAACUUCGGACAAGAGGUUCAUUGUGUGGAAAAGACAGGUGGCAACUCUUGAUGCUCGUCAUUUUGCGUCAGCUGCACGAGAAUAUUGGUGUCAAGAAAUGGUUUCGGCUGGACUAAGAGUAUUGGAUGCUCUUCAAGCUAUUUCGAUGAAGCCUUCUUUGUCCAAGUACUGCCAAACUGUGUACCUCCUUCAUAUUUUCGACAUAACAAGGUUCCUUGAGUCGAAAUCACUCGGCACAAAGAAAGUUGAUGCGAUCAAACUGCACAACUUUCUUCAAUUGUCUGCCAAAUACGUUGAAAUCGUUUUUCCUUUGGACCCUCGACAGUCGUUAUCUGAGGAUAUGGUAUCUUUAAGGGAAACCGAAAUUUCCAAGAAUUCACUUGAAGAUAUUGUGUGUAGAAAUAUUAGCUUGAAGAACGACGAACUCACUCAUAGGCAGAUAGGCGAGGUGGUGAUGAUAAUGCUUGGGUCUGGAUUAAAGCCGAGAAACGGGAUUAAUUAUGAGAGGCUUAUUGCAAGGCUGUCUGAAAACACUUGUAAUUGGAAGUCAUUCAUCGAGAAUCUCGGUACCGUGCAAGAAUCUUCCUCCAAAGAAGCUCUGAGUCACGAGUUUCAUAAAGCACUUGUCGAAACAUAUAACAGGAAUUGGAGGGCAAGAGACUAUAUAUCUCCUAAAUGUUUCUUUUAUCUUGUGGAGAGACUUUUGAUUUUGGUUCCUCACUGUCGAGGUCACUUUUUCACUACAAAAUCCUCGUUUGCAGAAUAUUUAAUGUGCCUUAAACCGGAUGCGAACCCAAGUGAGGGUUUAAUCGCCGACAAAAAAUCAUAUGCUACAAACACGUUUAAAUUUGUUGCCGAUGUGACCAGGGGAUGUCUUUAUAACAGUCAGGGUACGGCAGAAUGGAUUAAUCGUUCUAAUAUCGACUGCAAGUACUAUCUUCCGGUGCUUAUGCUGAGGUUGUUCAUGAUUCUUUGUUUAUCGUGUCUGAAUUCUGAGUUGCCGUUCAAUACACUUUUUGAGGUGCUUAAAGUAGGUUAUGUCAGAAACCAGCUGCCGUGGAAAUUUUGUGAAGCUAUUCGUGAUAGGCGUACGAGGAUGAAUUAUAAUAAUAAUAAUAUUUCGGACAAUGCUGCUGCAGUUGCUGGAGCUUUCAAUAUUAUAGGGGAUCCUCUUGUUAUUGUAGCCUCGACUGAGUUUAAUAGUGUCGAGUUUGUAUGUCCCGAUUCCAUUUUUCUUGACUUGAAGUCGUUCUCGUGUCGAAAUGAGGUGAUCAGAAAACUAUUUUCUAACAAGAGCAGCUGUGAAGCAUCAACACAUUCACACGGUGAUGAAAAAGUAAUUGCAGUUGAUGGAAAUGAUGUUGUUAGUGAACAAGUUACCACUAGUACGAAAUCUUCAAACACGAGAUUGGAAACCGAUUCACAAUUGAGCACCUCAAAGAAUGGCGAAGGGGUUGUGCGAAUGGACUUAAAUUGGAACAUUAUUCAGGAAUUAUUUGACGCAGGGUAUGGAAAUGAUGGAGAUUCCAAGAGCACUCUUCGGAUGAAGAUGGUAAAAAGUGAAAUUAUUAUUAUUAUUUAUUUUUAUUUGGGGAGUUAUAUAUGGAUCAUGUAUAUGAUGAUGAUAUAUUGUUUUUAAUUUUAAUUUUUUCAGGAGGAAAUGAAGGAGCAUAUAAAAAUAUUAACUGCUGACAUGGCAACUCACCCUGGUGAAGAUAAAAAAUUGCUGGCCACGAUGGAGGAACUGACCGAGCUUUCUUCUUCAUUAGAUACGAGGUUAGUCUUAAUUUUGAGAAAAUCAUCUCGAAUAACAUAAAUAAACGAAAGAAUUUGAUCAUUGUCGUCUUCAGUAUAUAUGUAUUGGAGAGUUCUUUUGUUACAUUUGUAAUAAACUGAUUGCCAUGAUUAAUGCAGUGAGAUUGAUGUUAAAGCAAUGCAGAAGCUGGGAGAACUUUUGAUGAGCUUCAAAGAAAGAAGUUCUGAAAUAUCAUUGUUGGGUUCGAAUGACCAUAUAACAAUGCAUUCAACUUCUUCUGACGACGACGACGAGGAGGAGGACGAAGAUAGAAAAAAUAAUAGCAAAAAUGGAAAAGGAAAGAGCAAGAAUAAUAAGAAGCAGCCGAAAAAAGGGAAAGGAAAAGGGAAAGGGAAAGGAGGUAAAAGGAAGUGAAAAGGGUAAUUAAUUUUUGUAUGUAAAUCUUUUUGUUUCUUCGAAUUUGAGUUUUGAGUAUCUCUUCUGAUGUUACUUUUUGGUUUAAGCCCGUGUCGGGUGCUCGAAUGGUCGUGUUGGAUAUCUACGCUGCGUCGUAUAUCAGUUCUUUAGCAUGAUGUUACUUUUUGGUUUAAGCCCGUCGUGUCGCGUGCUCAAAUGGUCGUGUUGAAUUUCUACGCUGCGUCGUAAAUCAUAUCUUUAGCGUUUCUUUUAUUUGCUUAUUACAAUUCAAAAUUUUAAAUCCAUGUUGAGAUAGAAUCAUUAGCAAAGGCCCUGAUCGGCAAAAAAGAUGAACAUUAAACCAACUUAUAGUAUGAAAUGGUUUAUAUUUUAUUUUAUUUAUUAAGUUGAGUUUUUAAUAAGUAAUGUAGUAGUUUUUGUGAAGCAUAAACAAGACAGUUAAUAAUAAAAGACAAAGCAAGCAACAAAGAAUCAAUCAUAUGCUUUUCCAACAAGUAAAGAGUAGUAAAUCCAUGUACAACAAAGAUAACGCAUGCAUGAAUAAAAUAAACAAGGGAGUAUUAGUGAGAACCCCCUCCAACAUUAUUUUAAUAAGGAUGGGUUCAACCCCUUUUUCAUUAUUAGUGAGGGACCCAUUCUUUUUUUAUUUCCAAAUUUACCCUCCCUUUAUUCACUACCCAUUUAUCCACUACUUUGAUGAUUUUUUAUUUAUUUAUUUAUUUUUUUAUUUUUUAUUUAUUUAAAAAAAACUUUGUUUUAAAUAUUUCUUCUUCCAGAAAAAUAUUUCUCUUUUUCGAUUUUUUUAUUGUCAGUUUUUUCUUUCAGAAUGAAUUGCAAUUUUUUUGUACUAACUAAAUCAUAUACACAACAGACCAACAUAGUAUAUUAGCUUCAUAUUCCAAAUAAAUGUAACAAAAAAAACAAGGACACAAAUAGAUAAGGAAACAGACCUCUAAGCGGCGAAUCCGAUGAUCUUGGAAUCGAAAAGCUUCAAGAUGCCACCGGAAUUGGAGGAGAGCUCCUCGAUUUGGAUCUGUAGGUUGUGAUAGAGGACACGGGGCUCUCGUCUUCGCGGCUCUCCUCGUUCUGCUCGAUUGGUGAUGUUUUUGUAGGCGAAGAGGAGGUUGCGUUCCUCGGCGGGGAGAAGGUUGCGUUUCUUGGCGAAGAGAACGAUAUUAACAGGGAGAGAGGAAAGGAAGGGGACGGUGGAGAGAGUGUAGGGGAAAAAGAGAAUAGGUCAAAUAUUAAAUAAUAUUACAUAAAGGGCAAACUAGGUAUAUUAAAUCGAAAUUUAAUAAAUAUUUAAUUUAAUUUAUAAAUAAGUGGGGUUUCACUAAUAAUGUAAAAGGGUGUAGAUCCACCCUAAUAUACCCAAAGGUUUUGGGGGGUUUUCACUAAUUAUCCCAAUAAACAAAGUCAAUAGAUGUUUUCGAUAUUUUAAUUGAGUUGAAAAAUUAAGGGUAAUUUUGUAAAAAGCCUAUCAUAGAUUUUUGAUUUUUCAAUUAAUGAGAUUCUAAGAAAGACAAAAAUAUUUAGUUGGGGCCAAAUCCGAAUCAUUUGGUGAAUGGACUUGUAUACCAAACGGCCUCAGUCGACAAAGAGAGCCCCGUGACUAAUUACGAAAAUCUCCUCCAUGUUUGCAUAAUGACAAAAUAUGGACUUAUAACUAAGAACAAAUAAAAAGAAAAAAGUUGCUGUCUUUAUAGCUAUUUAAAUUUAGAUUUGUGGUGAGUGAGUCUCGUUAGCCAUUUCCCCCAUUGAAGUGAAUAAAAUCAUUGGAUCAAAUGAAGGCCUUGUUUUCAACUGCAUGCUUUGUUUUGCUGAUAAAAUCAUCGACUGACAUUGUACCCAACUCUCCACCAAACCUCGAUCUAACUGUUAACGCUUGUGUUUCUACCUCUUUGGGCCCCACAACCGCCAUUAAUGGAAUCUUCAGUUUCUCUGCUGUCCUAAUAAGUUUUGGCAGCCUCUCUCCACUGCAAACUUCUGCUCUAAUGCCAUUUUCUUUCAAUCUUUUGCACACCUCAUUGCAGUACUCAAGCUGUAGCAAUUGCAUAAUUAUUUCAGUGAGCUUAAUUCUUACGUCACAAAAUAUACAUGCAGUUGAUCGAGUAAGUUAUAUACUACUACUACUACAAACAAUGGAGUCCCACUAUAAUCGGAUGUUUUCUUUACCUGUAUGUCAGUUACUGGUAAAAGACGAGCUUGAAUAGGAGAAAGCCAUAAUGGAAAAUCUCCAGCAUAAUGCUCUAUAAGAACUCCAAAGAAGCGCUCUAAGGAUCCAAGAACUGCUCUAUGUAUCAUGAUUGGUCGCUUCUUCUCUUGAUCCGAAUCGACGUAAGUGAUGUUAAAGCGUUGAGGCAAAUUAAAAUCAACCUACCAAAAAAGAAAAUUAUAUAUAUUUGCCAAAAGAAGAAUAGAAAUGAACAUUGCAGUGGUGGUUUCUUUCCAUUAGGUCGGUCCACGGAAACAAACAAUACCUGUAUGGUGGAGCAUUGCCACUUCCUUCCGAGUGCAUCCUCGAUUUUUAAAUCAAUUUUGGGGCCAUAAAAAGCGCCACCGCCAUCAUCUAUCUGAUAAUUCCAACCUUUGUCAUCUAAGGCAUCCUUUAGAGCAGAUGUUGCUUUAUCCCAUAUAUCAUCACCUCCCACAGAUUUCUCUGGUCUUGUUGACAGGUUUACUUCAUAUUUGUCAAAACCAAAUUGCAGCAAUAUUUCCUCCGUAAGAUCCAGCACACCCCUUAUUUCGUCUUUUAUUUGAUCAUCUAAACAGAAUAUGUGGGCAUCAUCCUGUAAAACCAAACCAUCACAGAGUAAACUUAACACAAGCCUCUGGAGCAUAAUUAAAAUUUUUCUAACAGAUACGCAGAGAUGAGAACUCUUAUUAAUGCAUUACACUGAGAUAUUACAGGGAGCCUUUUAAUGGAAUGGGAAAUCUAAAUUUUGAUACAUAAGUAACAAGAACCUCGAUUUUACAAUAAAGUAAAUCGCAUGGAAUUCUUUAAAAUUCAAAUUAACUUGAAUGGUUUCAAGGCGACAAUUGUGGAAGUUUCAAUGAUACCAUUAGAUUAUCUGUUGAUGUCGAUAAAUCCAAGACCAAAAGCCAAUCUAAGACUCCGUACUUUAAGAGAUAUAGAUUCAAUGAGCAAAACACAAACACAUACCUGGGUAAAUCCUCUUACUCUGAACAAUCCAUGUAAACUUCCAGACAACUCAUAUCUAUACACUGUUCCAAGCUCAGCAACCCUGAUUGGAAAAUCCCUGUAAGAAUGCUGCUUCCGUUUGUAAACCAAAAUAUGGUAAGGGCAAUUCAUCGGUCGGAGCUGAUAAAGUUCUUCCUCUAUCUUCAUCUGAUCAAACAUACUCUCUUUGUAAAAGUCGAGAUGACCACUAAUCUUCCAAAGAUCUCCUUUUGCUACAUGUGGAGUAUAGAGUAAAUCAUAGCCACGCUGUAUGUGGAUCUUUUUCCAUGCAUCUUCAAUUAUGUGUCUUACAAUAGCACCCUUUGGAUGCCAGAAAACCAACCCUCCACCAGCCUCAUCCUGCACGUAUUUUCAUUUCAGGUAUAAGACCUAGGGAAUCUUAAAUGAGCAAUAACGCCACACAUACAUAUUCGUUCAACAAAAAAAUUACAAUAGCAACUACCAUUUUGAUUUGGUUGAAAAAUGGAUGAAAUCACAUCUAGUGUGACUAGAAUAUAGUUGACUGUUUAAAAAGAAAUAUUCACAUCAAGUGAAAUGGAUGGAAUAGACAUCUUUGUUUAAUCUUUAUUACAAAGCUGAAAAUGUAACAUGGAUGUCCUUUGCAGAAAUAAACAAAUCCAGCAUUUUAAAGAUGUAGUUGGGGAAAGGCCAGGGCAUGAUGGAAACCACAAGAAAUUUGGCUGGAGUGAAGGACGAUAGAGGUUUACAGGCUAAUCAUGCCAAUAUUUAGCUAUAAGGAGUUGAAAAACACAAUUCAUUUUUUUUUUCUGAUUGCAGAGGAGAAGGCCUCAUCUCAUAAGAGGGGUUUUCAAGAUAUUAGUUUGAUGAUCCAACUUACAAGCUACCAUUUACGUUUAAGGUUGAAAAGUUGCAGCACCAUUGACUGAAUAGAAGCAUUUAAAGAAAGGUGAAUCCUGAAUUUUGAUGGAAACAACAGUAUAUACUUGUUUUUCCAAUAUCCAUUAUAUUCGCAUGAUGAAAUCUAUUACUGAGUCUCCAUAGCAUUAUCAUCUCGAGAAAAAAUCUGACCAAAAUUUAAAAAAGCUUUUCACGUAGCACCCCCAAAUUGUGUUUGAAGAAUAUUAGUUACUUAGGAAGAGAAUUUGAACUACUCCAUGUACAGUAGGAAGCAAGGAAUAUACAUGAAAAUCAUGAACAUGGUACCUGUAUAGAAAACAGAUCGAGAUCUUGACCAAUUCUACGGUGGUCCCGCCUUUUGGCCUCCUCCUUAAAGUGAAGAUAAGCUUUCAGUUGUUCUUCAUUCUCCCAUGCUGUGCCAUAUAUCCUUUGUAACAUUGGCUUAUUUGUGUCUCCUCUCCAGUAAGCCCCAGCGACAGACUCAAGUUCAAUAGCUUUUCUAUUGAUGUUUCCAGUAGAUUCUACAUGAGGCCCAGCACAAAGAUCCCACCAUUCAUUACCUAUGAAGAUAACAAAGAACAACAGUAAAACAGAAGAAUAAGAUUUCCUAAUGUCUAGAUGCAGGGUUCAGAAAGUUAAGGACUCCAACCAAGGGGAAAAAAAUUAAAACAAUAUAUAUUCUGGAAGACAAAUACAACGAUAGUAAGUAGGACUUUUCAGAAAACAUUUUCUUAAGUUUUUUAGCUCAAUUCGAGCUAAGCAAAGGUUUAUUAGGCGUAGAAGAAAGAAGCAGACCUCACCUAUAUGAUAGAUUGUGAUGGGCUCCUCUUUAAUGCUCUCAAGAAUCUCAAUCUUGUAAGGCUCCUUGACAUCAAUUAUCCUUUUAUGGGCUUCAUCUCUGCUAACUUCUUCUCUGAUUAAAGGCAAAUUUUUACCAAUAAUGCGAUCCUACAGAUGAUUCAAGAAAUAAAUUCUGUAGCCAAAAAAAGCAUUAUCUCACGUAAUGUUGUUGAAUAACAAGAAAAGAAAAGGACUGAUGAUCACAAUACAAGAAGACAAAGUCGGCUCACCAUUUCUUUUUUAAUUUUCUUAAGGUCCUUAUCAGUGAGAGGCUCCAUAUCAAAGUCAUAGUAAAAGCCAUUCUCAAUCCAAGGACCAAUCGUCACUUUUGCAUCCGGAUAAAUCUUUUGAACAGCCAUAGCCAUCACAUGAGCACACUGCAUUCGUUAAGAAAGAUUAAAAUCCUAUACAAUAAGAACUCAAUCAUCCAAAAUUUGCAUUUUGACUACGCAGGACCACUUCACAAGCUAAUGCAACUAGAUAAGCAAAUACGGAACAAUAAUAAGACAUAAUGUAAAAAGCAGCAUUAACAUUGAAUUUCAAAGUUCAAGGCUCUCAUUUUACUUAAUUAGAUUAGAAGUAUGAUUGUAGGAACAAAUUGACAUCUCAGUAAAUCAAAUUAACAAAAAGACUUGCUAUACUAACUCAAAAGUUCAAUAAUUUUUCGUAAGUUUGUGCAGAUUACGGAUUGCCCAUAAGGUCUAAGCCACAAAUCUGGCACCACAUACACAAGUUUCAUCUGCUCUUACGUUUUCUAAACAGUUAAUUAGGAAUUUUUUUUACAAUUAAUUUCGAAGUAUUACCGUGUGACGAAUCCUGAGGAGUUUCUCAGAAGACUUAUUGGUAGGAAGGACAAUUUUUCCGGAAUCGGAAUCGGAAUUGGUAUCUCUUCCUUCACCGGGCGGCGGAGCAGUGGGCAUUUCCGUAACUUCAGUAGCGACGGCGGAGAAUUUUGCCCUACGCAGUCCAUCCUUGCGAGAAAAACGAUGAUCAACAA